rnacentral:lncRNA from 1 species
AUCAUCCCCAUCACCACCAGCCUCAAGAGGUCCUGAGCAACCACACCACACCGGAGUUUGUGACGAUGAUCAUCUGGACACCUGCAUUUGUGUCUAUGUUGUUUCGAUUUCGUAUUCUACUGCUUCAUUCGUUGAUUUCUGCUCCCUCCGAAUGUCUCUAUGCCGUCAGGAUUUAGCUGAUGAUGAAUAGUACACCGUAUAUCUGUUCAGUUAAUUUGCAACCCUGAAAAAUCUGCUGAUCGAUUCUGUGCAUGAGAUGAGAUUUGGUGCGUGGAUUUGUUGCUGUUGCAGUAGCCUGCAGAUUUAUUGUGCUUGCAGCUGGGGCCUGAGCACCCUGUACACAAGAUAGGCAAUAUUUGUGGCUUCCUAUCAUCACUAGUAGAAUGUCCGUGCGUUGUCACGGGCAUUUCAGUAAUUUUGCUGGUUGUAUAAGCAUAAUGCAUGUAUAGAAAAGAUAGCCAAUAAAAUACAAUCAGAAAAUAAAUAAAAUUAAUUUUCUGACGAGACUUCCUCGUGACUAGGACAAACUCUCCCCUCUAAAUUUCACCGGCGAGUCCGUCGAUUCGCCUCCCCUGUGUCUACCGCUCCAACGGCCGGUGGCAGGGAGGGGAAUCCCAGUGCCUCCGCUCCGGUUAGUAGUUUAGGUUAGGGAUUUCUAUUCCUUGAAGGCGUGGUGCUCAGGCGGAUGGCGCGCUACUUCCUUGAGUUUGUCUUUCGGACUCUAAUCCACCUCGAGUUCGUUCGUCUAGACGUAGUCAAUGGAGUUUCGGCAUAGAUUCUUGUUGUCUCUUUUGCGGCGGUGAGGUUAGGGUUUCUCGUCAUGUGGCAAGAUGUGCAGGUGCUUCAAAUCGAUGCAAUGGUUCAACGGUGACGACUGCGAUUCCAGAGUGUUGGUCCUUAGGGACACGUGUACGAAGACUUCCCUCCUAUCAUCGGAAAAGGUCAAGCCGGCUCCGAUAGGGGAGCGACGACCGUGGUGCGUCGGCAACUUGUUUUGGCGGGGGUAGUGGUUGUUUUUGGGGUGUUGGAAUCUCAAUGUAAUUUUUAGUAUGUUUGAGAUGAUUUGUACUUUCGGUGAACUUUGAUAAUAGAUCUAGAUCAUUUCCACACAAAAAGAAAGAAAAUGAAUAAAAAAUGCAAUAUGACAUUGUAUACAUUUAGAGUAAUGACUCAACUAAUUAACUAUUACAAACUAAAAUCUCAUUGAUGUGUUUAAGAUAUUCUCAUACAAUGUCAGGAAUGCUAUCUUUAGCAUCAUUUGCAUGAUUCUUAAGCAAUCUCUACUAAUUAAAAAGCACAUAAGGCUAUACAAUUAUGAUAACUUACACAAAACUGCAGAUCCAUGAAGUGUACAGGAGGGUCUAGAACCAAAAAGACCUCAUUGCAUGCAAGCAUACAUAUGGCCAUGUUGAAACAAAUCCAUAGAACAUGUUAAGUAUGCCUUCAUUUUUUGAGACUUAAGCCCAUUGGAUGUGGCAUAGAGAUUCACACCCAUUCCUUUCUGAAAAAUAAUUAGUAAGAAUCACAAAAAUGUAUAUUGAUGCAUAAUAUACUUAUAAAUGUUGCUUACUCUAAACAAUUGACAUAAUCGAUCAACAAGAUGUAUUUGCAAUGGCAGUCAACUAAUUCAUGUGGACUCUCCAGGAGCACGACAUCAGAAUUAGAUAAAUCAGGCGUCCUUUUAUCUUAUUCAUGUCUAACUCUCCGUCGAAAGUGUUUCAUAUCUUCUGGCAAAAUAUUAGUAAAAAACAAAUCUAAGAGAAAGCUUAAGAUGAAAUAACGAGAACAUGUAUGAAAAUGAAAUACUCGGGUGACAUGAUCAAACACACAUCUCGUGUCCAAUAUUUCAUAAAAUUUACCUUGAAUAAUACUGCACAUGAUGUGCUGCAAAUAUUACAAAAAUUUCUUUAGAAUAUCAUUCAGAGAAAUCAAAAAUUUGCUUUAGUAUAUCAUACACACGAUGAACAAGUCUACCUGUAUGAGUCUGCUAAUAAAGAUUUUGUUAUCAAUAUUGCUUUUCUCAAGACAUGUAACAUAAUACGUUUGCUUUGAUGAAUAUAAAACUUAAUUUUUGAUCUUGACAAGUGUUUACGCAUCAGUUUAUAUUUGACUCCUGAAUCUGUUUUACGACCGCCUAGUCUGUAACAUUUAGAUCACUUGUUGGUGAUUAUUUUCAGAAAAUUAUUUGUUGGGGUAUGUGAUAUUUUCAUUAAAUAAAAAAAGUUCCAAAAGUAUGUGCCAUCUCUCAUAGCAAACAAUCGCUCCAAAAGGCGCCUCGCGCGAGACUGAAGAAAGCGCAAAGGGAGCUGGAGCGACUGAUGAACGUUCCCUUUACUACUGAGGUUAGUGUGAAACAGAAAGAGAUGUCGGUGCUGAUUGGGAAUCUUUUGCAGCAAGAUGAGAUAUACUGGUCACAGCGUGGGAGGGUAAAUUGGCUCCGACAUGGUGAUCGAAACACAAAAUACUUCAGCCAUUUUGCGUCAGCUAGGAGGAAAAAUCUCAUUAAAAAACUGCGUGUAAAUGAGAGUGGGUGGAUUGAGGGGAAUGAUAACCUCAAACCCCUAAUCUCUGACUAUUUCAAAAAUUUGUUUUAGUUUGAUGUAGGAGAAGUGGACACAAAUCUCCUAGCAUCGGUCAAGUCCUUGGUGACUAACGAUAUGAAUACAUUACUUGUUGCUCCUUAUACUAAGGAAGACGUGCGCAAGGCUUUAUUUCAGAUUGGUGACAUGAAGGCCCCUAGACCGGAUGGCCUACAUGCAAUAUUCUUCAAAAGGUUUUGGCACAUUCUUGGGGAUGAACUAACUAAGGAAGUUCUGGAUGCUAUUGAGAAGAAGAAGAUUCUAGAUGGAUGGAACUCAACAAACAUUGUUUUGAUCCCUAAGGUAGAGAACCCGGAGGUAAUUACUCAAUAUAGGCCGAUCAGCCUAUGCAAUGUGGUAUACAAGAUUAUUUCCAAGAUGAUUGCUAAUAGGCUUAAAAGAAUUCUCCCUGAUGUCAUAUCCCCAACACAAAGUGCUUUUGUGCCAGGCAGAUUAAUAACUGAUAACGUGUUGGUGGCCUACGAGUGCUUUCAUGCCAUUAAAAAGAAAACUCAUGCCACUAAUGGCUUUUGCGCGGUCAAGUUGGAUAUGAUGAAAGCUUAUGACAGAGUUGAAUGGGGGUUCUUGAGAGAAGUAAUGGUAAAGAUGGGUUUUCACUUGCAGUGAAUAGAGCUUAUUAUGGAAUGUGUAUCUUCAGUAAGUUACAGAGUCAGAUUUAAUAACACUGAGACAGAUGAGUUCUUCCCCACUCGAGGUUUGAGACAGGGAGAUCCCUUAUCCCCCUACAUGUUCUUACUUUGUUCUGAAGGCCUGUCUAGUAUGCUCGCUUUUGAGGAGGAAGUGGGAGGUAUAGAAGGAAUAAAAGUUUGCAGGAAUGCCCCAUCAAUAUCCCACUUAUUAUUUGCUGAUGACUCGCUUAUUCUUAUGAGAGCUAAUAACCAGAAUGCGGUGACUCUUAAAAAGGGUGUUGGAUACAUAUUGCGGCAGCUCUGGACAAUUGGUGAGUGCUCCCAAGUCCAGUAUUUUUUUCAGUCCAAAUACCAGCGUUCUAGUGAGAGAAGAAAUUUGUAGAGAGUUAAAUAUUUUGACUGAGGCUCUAUCAGACAAAUAUUUAGGCCUCCCAACCAUGGUUGGGGUGGAUCAUAGUGAUUGCUUCCAACACCUCAUUGAUAGAGUUUGUCGUCGAUUGAAAGGGUGGAAAGAAAAAGUGCUCUCCAUGCAAGGUAAGGAAAUUUUGUUGAAAUCAGUAGCUCAAGCAAUACCUCCAUACGCCAUGUCAGUGUUCAAAUUACCAAAAGGUAUUUGCAAGUCAAUAAUAGAUGAAAUGUCAAGUUUUUAGUGGGGUGAUGAUGAAGAGAAGAAGGAAAAAUGCAUUGGUACGCAUGGUGGAAAAUGUGCAUCCCAAAUAAGAAGGGCGGUAUGGGAUUCAGAGACUUACACAACUUUAACCUUGCUAUGUUAGCAAAGCAGUGUUGGUGACUAAUCCAAAAUCCGGACUCUUUGUGUGCACGUGUUCUGAGUGCAAAGUAUUACCCAGAUGGUAACAUUCUUAAUGCCGGCCCUAAGAAGGGUUCUUCAUACACUUGGCAGAGCAUUGUGGCGGGAAUCCAAACUUUUAAAAGGGGUUUCAUUUGGAGAGUAGGUACAGGCUCAAAGGUCAAUAUCUGGUAUGACCCUUGGAUCCCUUCAAGUGCCUCACAGAAAGUUAUAACGCCAAGAGGGCAGAUUAUGUUAUCCAAAGUAGAAGAGCUAAUCGACCCGCAUUCGGGUCAGUGGAAUGAAGAUCUGCUGCGAUCUGUUUUUAGUCCGACAGAUGUUGAACGGAUACUAAGAAUUCCUCUUAAUGUAGGGAACGUUGAGGAUUUCGUGGCAUGGCAUUACACAAGGUCUGGGACGUUUUCAGUCAGUUCAUCGUAUCAUGCAGAAUUUAAUCAUCAUAUGAUUCACGUUCGACUCUUGCUGAUGGUUAAGGCGGGGCUCAAAUAAAUGGUAUCUGGAAGGACACUUGGAGUCUUAGAGUUCCUGGAAAAAUUAAACACUUCACGUGGAAAGUUUUGAGGGGUAUCUUGCCCUGCUAUGGAGUUCUUGCAAGGCGCCAUAUUCCUGUCACUGGCCAGUGCCCGUUCUGUAAGGUGGGCUUCGAAGAUAUUCGGCAUUGCUUGUUUACUUGCUGUCAUGCAGUGGAUGUUUGGACGGAAUUAGGAAUGAAUGAAGUGAUCUACCAGGCAGUGAUGGAGGACCGAUCAGGAUCAGUGACCAUGGAAAUCCUAGAAAGGAACCAAUCGCUUGUUGGGGAGCUACCAGCGGUAGAGCUGAUUGUAGUUGCUGCUUGGUUCAUAUGGUGGCAGCAUCGUCAGUUUGUGAAGGGGGAAACAAUCCAAACCGCAGACCGAACAGCUAUCUCCAUCAAGGUGUUAACAACAAACUUUGUAAGAGCGGCAACACCGAAACAACCAGUACGUAAGAGAGAUCACAUGUGGAAGAGACCAAAUAGAGGGAGUGUUAAGAUCAAUGUGGAUGCUUCAUACAAUGCUGAAACUUUAUCUGGGGCAACAGGAGCCAUAGCAAGGGAUGAUAAAGGACAAUUCUUGUCAGCAGCGACAUGGUACAUACCGCACGCUAGUAGUGCCGUAUCAGCAGAACUAAUUGCUAUCUGUAAUGGGCUAUAUCCGGCGGCAAAUAUUGGGUGCAAUAGAGUCAUAAUUGAAUCUGACAGUGCACUGGCGAUAGAGGCGGUGAACAACCACGACAACUACUUCGGUCAAGAUGCUGCGACGGUUGUGGAGUGCAAAAUGUUGGCUUCAGAUUAUGCUUCUGCAUCCUUUGACAACUGUUUCCGAAAAGCAAAUUCCAUAGCAGAUAGCUUAGCAAAACUUAGCUUUACUUCUACUUCUUCUUCUGUGUGGGACUCUACCCCACCCGACCUUAUUUCUCACCUGAUUGUAAGUGACAUGGCCAUUAUUUGAGAAAUAAAGUCCUUUGAUUUUUUUUAAAAACAAUCACUUCUCCCUUGCACACACACAACACUACAACAGCUAUAUCUUUUUUAUUCCUAAAAACCAAACGCCAUGCUCCUUUUCUUCCUAUCUUGGAAAAAAAUCACUUAUCUCACUCGCUCACCGCACGGCCACGGCCACGGCACAAUCCCUCACUCUCUCCCCGCCAAGGCGGCGGCGCCGCCAUGUCUACUCCCUGCUGCCUUCCCUCCACGGCAUUGCGUUCAGCCCACACUCUCCUCUCACUGCCGCCUCCCAUCCUCUCCAUGGCAUCAUCGUCCUGUCCACUCCCCGCCACGGUGUUGCCAACACAUCUGGCGCGACGAGCAGCCGGAUACGACCGGGAGGCGCAGAAGGCCUCACCGUUAUCCAUUCGCAGAGCCCGUCCAGUUUUGGGUGAGAUGACCUCGGGCACGAGGUGUGGCGCGAUGAGUUGGAUGGAUGGCGCCCUGGUCAUCGGACCCAGUCUUCUACCUCAGCCGAGACGCGCCGUCCAUCUCCAUGGUGUGGCCAUCCCAGGCAGCGGUGAAGUAGCCUCUGGGGAGAGCUCGACCGGGCGCGAGCACGGCAAGUAACUCAAGGCGCUGCAGCCGUGAGUGCCCCCCUCCCAAUCCUCCCCUCGCCUGCUAUUGCCUUAGGCUCUGUAGUUGGAGAAUCAAUUCACUCUCUCUAUUGAUCAUUGUGUGUUACAUACAUGGCAUUUAUACACAGGGCAUUGCCCGAGUCAUGAGGCACGUAGGCCCUCGAUCCUAUAUACGUGGGCAUGCACAACAUCCCAUUACAACACAACUCAACACCCCCCCCCCUUAGCCGAAACUCCAUUGGCAUGGACGUUGAGGCUGGAUCGGAACUCGUGGAACACCAGAGAUGGCAAGCAUUUUGUGAACAAAUCAGCAAAUUGUGAGCUCGAGGGGACGUGCAAGACCCGCACAUCACCGAAGGCAACGCGAUCACGUACAAAAUGAAGGUCUAUCUUGAUGUGUUUGGUGCGUUGAAGCUGAACCGGAUUGCACGCGAGGUAGGAUGCGCUGAUAUUGUCACAGUAAAUGAUGGUGGCUCGCUGUGGUGGACACUUGAGUUCAUGGAGGAGUUGGCGUAACCAGCAGGACUCGUCAACGUAGUUUGAAACACCACGAUACUCGGCCUCCGCGCUUGAACGAGAGACAGUGGCCUAUCGUUUGGAUGACCAAGAGAUGAGGUUGGAACCAAGGAAUACACAAAAACCGAACGUGGAUUUCCUCGUGUCAGGGCAACUGGCCCAAUCUGCAUCCGUGUAUGCAACGAGUUCCUUGGAGGAUGACUUUUAGAAUUGUAAGCCAUAGUGGGAAGUGCCUUGGAGGUAUCUCAGAAUAUGCUUGACGAGCUGCAUAUGCGUGUCGUGAGGCUCAUGCAUGAAGAGACACACUUGUUGGACGGCAUAAGAUAUGUCCGGCCGUGUCAAGGUGAGAUACUGAAGGGCACCUGCAAGACUGCGAUAGUAGGUGGGGUUGGAGAGGAGCUGACCAUGGGAGAGGGACAGCUUGGAGCUCAUGUCGAUGGGAGUAGAGACGGGCUUACAAUGUAACAUGUUGGCACGCUCAAGAACCUCCAAGGUGUACUGUUGCUGACUGAGGAAGAGCCCCGAGGAGGUGGUGGUGACGUUGAUGCCGAGGAAAUGGUGUAGGGGGGCCAUAUCGGUCAUGGAGAACUCAAACUUGAGAGCCGAGAUGACGUGGUGGAGUGUUUGUGGAGAGCUGGCUAUGAGAAUGAUAUCAUCUACAUACACAAGCAAGUAGGCGAUGGAGGUGCCGUGAUGGAGGAUGAAUAAGGAGGUGUCACUCUUGGAGCCAUGAAAGCCAAGAGAUAGAAGGAAGGCCCAAAAAUGAAGAAACCACGUGCGAGGAGCUUGCUUGAGGCCGUAGAGAGACUUGUGGAGGCGACAAACAUGAUCCAGACGAGUGAUGUCGACAAAACCAGCGGGUUGGGAGCAGUAGACGAGCUCGUUGAGAUCACUAUGAAGAAAUGCGUUCUUGACGUCCAUUUGGUGGAUGGGCCAAGAGUGAGAUGUGGCAAUGCUCAACACCACACGGAUGGUAGCCGGCUUAACCACCGGGCUGAACGUCUCAUCGUAGUCCGCACCUUCUCGUUGUGUGAAACCUCGAAGCACCCAACGAGCUUUGUACCGUGCUAAAGAGCCGUCCAUGUUGAAUUUGUGACGGUAGAUCCACUUCCCCGUGACCACAUUAACACCUGCAGGCUUAGGCACCAAAGACCACGUAGAGUUAUUCAUUAAAGCAGUGUAUUCAUCGAGCAUAGCUUGUCGCCAAUUUGGGUCCUUUAGGGCGGAUUUGUAAUUGGGUGGUAUAGGAGAGAUGGUGGUGGAUGGGGUGUCGACUAGAAAGAGGCAACGAGGCAUGCAAAAUCCAGAUUUGGCACGAGUGGACAUUUUGUGUGCAUUGUGAGGUGGUGCAACGGGUAAGGCGCGAGGCGGUACAUGAGGUGGUGUAGUGCAUGGGGGCGGCGAUCCCGAGGAAGAUGUGGUGGGGCUGGUGGCAGUCUGAUCCGAUCGGCAGGGCUCGUGGAGCGAGGAAGAUGCGGGCGCAGUGGGGCUGGCAGGUGCGGCAGAGGCGGACGACGAUUGGGUGGAGGUGGACGCGGUAUCCGCGGUAGUGGUGGACCCGCUAGAGCGGCCGGUGGGACGAGGACGCGUGGAGGGGCCAGGCGACGCGGGCGCGUCGCGACGCGCACGCACGGGCGUGCAUGGGGUGGUGGGGCUCGGAGAAUCUGGUGGAUCGGGUGUGUGACCCGAGGAAGCUGCGGCGGUCAGGGAUGGGGUAGGUGGGAUACGGUGUGCGGGAUCGUCUGUGGACGUGUUCACGUGUGGCGUGGUGUAUGGAAAAUUCGUUUCGUCAAAAAUGACAUGGCGAGAGACGAUAACACGGCGCGAUUCCAGAUCAAAGCACCUAUAACCCUUGUGCUCGAGGGGAUAUCCUAAGAAAACGCAGCGGACAGAGCGAGGGGAGAGCUUGUGGGACAUAGUGGAUAUAGGACCUUGAGAAGAGGUGUCUAGAGGGGGGGUGAUUAGACACUAAGUACCAACGUAGCAGUUUUUAAGCUUUUCUUGAAGUUUAAGUGGAGUUUAGGCACAAGUUUAACAUUCACAACACAUAUCAAGCAAGCAUGCAAAGAGUAUAUGAGCAGCGAAAAGUAAAGCAUGCAACUUGCAAGAAUGUAAAGGGAAGGGUUUUGAGGAUUCAAACGCAAUUGGAGACACGGAUGUUUUUGGCGUGGUUCCGAUAGGUGGUGCUAUCGUACAUCCACGUUGAUGGAGACUUCAACCCACGAAGGGUAACGGUUGCGCGAGUCCACGGAGGGCUCCACCCAUGAAGGGUCCACGAAGAAGCAACCUUGUCUAUCCCACCAUGGCCGUCGCCCACGAAGGACUUGCCUCACUAGCGGUAGAUGUUCACGAAGUAGGCGAUCUCCUUGCCCUUAAAAACUCCUUGGUUCAACUCCACAAUCUUUGUCAGAGGCUCCCAAGUGACACCUAGCCAAUCUAGGAGACACCACUCUCCAAGAAGUAACAAAUGGUGCGUUGAUGAUGAACUCCUUGCUCUUGUGCUUCAAAUGAUAGUCUCCCCAACAAUCAACUCUCUCUCAUAGGAUUUGGAUCUGGUGGAAAGAGGAUUUGAGUGGAAAGCAACUUAGGGAAGGCUAGAGAUCAAGAUUCAUAUGGUAGGAAUGGAAUAUCUUGGCCUCAACACAUGAGUAGGUGGUUCUCUCUCAGAAAUAGGAUACUGGAGGUGUAGGUUCGUCUGAUGGCUCUCUCCACGAAUGAAGAGGAGGUGGAGGGGUAUAUAUAGCCUCCACUCAAAAUCUAACCGUUACACACAAUUUACCAAACUCGGUGGGACCGAAUCGAGAAACUCGGUCAGACCGAUUUAGCAAAUAAUGUGACCGUUAGGGAUUUCGGUGGGACCGAAAUGCAACUCGGUAGGACCAAUUCGGUUAGGGUUAGGGCAUAACGUAAUCUCGGUGAGACCGAUUACACAAACUCGGUGAGACCGAUUUUGGUAACAAUCUAACUAGAGAGCUGGUCAAGCAAACUUGGUUGGACCGAUUACCAAACUCGAUGGGACCGAUUUUGAUAAUGAGUCGACUAGAAAGUUUGCAUUGUAAUCUCGGUAGUACCGAUUGCUCAAACUCGGUGAGACCGAUUUUGAUAAUGGACAUACACAGAGAGAUUACAAUCCCAUCUCGGUGAGACUGAGAUCCCUAUCGGUGAGACCGAUUUGCCUAGGGUUUGUGGCAGUGGCUAAGACAUCCAAACUCGGUGGCGCCGGAUAGAACGAAUCAGUGGAGCCGAGUUUGACUUUAGGUUUAGGACAUAUGUGUGGAAGUGGGGAAGCAGUUGAGGGUAUCUGGAGCAUAUACUAAGCACUUGAAGCAAGAGGCUCAUUAAGCAACACCUCAUCCCUCCUUGAUAGUAUUGGCUUUUCCUAUAGACUCAAUGUGAUCUUGGAUCACUGAAAUGUAAAAUGAAGAGUCUUGAGCUUGAAUCUUGAGCCAAUCCUUUGUCCUUAGCAUCUUGAAGGAGUUCCCACAUCCUUUAGUCCAUGCCACUCCAUUGUUGAACUUAUCUGAAAUAUACUAGAUAAAAGUGUUAGUCCAACAAGAGAUAUGUUGACAUUAAUUACCAAAACCACCUAGGGGGCACUUGUGCUUUCAAUCUCCCCCUUUUUUGUAAUUGAUGACAACAUACAUCAAAGCUUUAGAUAAAGAUUUAAUAAAUAGCGAGUAAAGCUUUGGAAAGACAUGUAACAAGCAUAGGCCCCCCUACAUGUAUGCAAUCAUGUGAAUAUUGAAAAUGGAAGCAUGUGAUAGCAUAACCAUGAUAGAGCAGGCAAUGUGUUACAUGUAUCUUGGCCAUAUGCAUCAGAGCAAAAAAAUAUUAAAGGAAAUACCUUCAUGCCCAUGAGUCCUUCUUGCAAAUAGUAUGUACAUCAGCAAGAAUUCCUCAUACACAUGAUUGUGAUGCAUAUAUUUACCUUGUAGUCUUGAGUUGCCUUAGGAUGGAAUGAACCUGCGUAAACAAGGUUAGAUAACACAGAUACAUCUACUAGCCAGAGCAAACAGAAGAAACCACAAGAAUACCAAGACUGGGAUGACAUGUAGAGAGUGAGUACUAAGUACUGCAUUGGAUUAGACAUGUCCCCAAGAGUAAAGAUAUGCAAUGAAUUUAGAUGAUUUCUUUCCCUUAGAUGUCUUGCUCCCCCUGAAUCUAACAUGGGAUACUGGGAGAAGAUAGGGAACAGAAAAUCAGAGCUAAAAGAUAUAAAUGAACAGAGCUAAUGCAAACUAAUGAAAGUAAGCACACAUGAACAUGUCUUUCCCCUCAAGAAGACAUGUGGCAUCUUUCCUCUUGAACACCAAGCAUCUGGGAUCCUUGAGAAAUACUUUCUACUAGUAUUCUCUCCCCCUGGAGAUCUCUCUCUCUCUCCCUGAAGGAUCUCUCUCCCCCUGAGAAGGUGAUACUCUCUCUCUGAUGUGAUCUCUCUCUCUCUAAAUGAUAAGCUUUGAUGUGAUCUCUCUCUCCCCCUUUGACAUCAAUUUCCAAGAAGGGCUUGAUAAAGAUGUAAUCUCUCUCUCUCCCUCUAGAAUUUGUCGUGAAUGGGUUUGAUCCUUGAGUCACAACAUAAAGCAAUGAUUGAAAAUGUGAUGCUUGUAGAGGACAAGAUUCAUUAAGUGGAGCUGGAUCAGAAGAAACACAGAAUAAGUGGCAAACUGUUUUUCCUGUUGUGAAAUCGGUGGCACCGAGUUAGAGACUUCGGUGGUACCGAAAAUUUUCGGUUGGACCGAAAAGAACAAAUCGGUGGAACCGAGUUCAUCACAGAGAAAACACUUGUCACCUCAGCUCACUAGACUAAUAAGAUCUCACAAAGAUUUGCAAGGAAUUUACUGAAUGAUAUGCAAGGAAUUGGAUGCAGAAAAUGCAGAGCAAACAGAAAGAAAUCUAGAUGAAGUUUUUUUUUGAAAGGGGAAACGAAUAUGCAUGAGACAAAUGCAAAAACACAGAAGAAAACACAAGGGAACUUCAUCUAGAAAUGGUCGGCGACAAAGUCACCUAUGUUAGAGUAUAUUGACUUAGGAGUCAAGUGAGAUCACUUGAUCAUAGGUCAUACUCAUCGUUUAAGCUCAAAAUGGGGUUACCAUUUUUCGUUUAAGCAUCUUGAUGUAUUCACAUCUUGUCGAGUUGCUUUAACUCAUGACUUGGAGUAAGGCUUCUCUAAGAUGGAAUAACAUACCUCGGUUGGUGGUGAUGUCCAUGUAGUUGAACUUGCGUGGGUUGCUCAAGGUUGAUGUAGCUCAACAAAAGUUGGGAGAACCACUUGAAAUUUGAGUCCAUCUACCUACAUGGGUUAGUUCUUGCAAGGAAGAGCACUUGUGUAUCCAAAAAUUGACAAUCAUGAAGCUCAACAUAGAAUUUGUCAAAGGAUAUGUUCGAAUGGUUUCGUGCUUCCUUGUCUUCAACCACCUUUGUGUAGAGACUUGGUGAUGUAGAGAUUGCUCAAGAUAUGAGUAGGUUACAAUCUCAUGGAAUUUGAUUCAACCAAGUACCUAUAUGGGUUAGAUAACAUGCAAGAUACAAAUAUAACCAAGACGUAAGAUUUUCAUCAUAAGAGAAAUAUCAAGGAUUAGUCAUAAGCUCAUGUCUUGCAUGUAUCCAAUGGAGUUUCUACUCCAAGUUUGAAGCAUCAAUGAUGUUCAAUUCUCCUCUCAACCUGCAAAACACUUUCUCAUCAAGAGGUUUAGUGAAUAUAUCCGCUAACUGCUUUUCGUUGCGAACAUGCUUAAGAUCAAUGUCACCCUUAGCAACAUGAUCUCGAAUGAAAUGAUGACGAACUUCAAUAUGCUUAGUUCGAGAAUGUUGCACAGGAUUAUGACCAAUUUUGAUAGCACUUUCAUUGUCACAAAGCAAUGGAACAUGUUUCACAUAUAUCCCAUAAUCUUUAAGAGUUUGGGUCAUCCAAAGUAAUUGAGCACAACAUGAACCAGCGGCAAUGUACUCUGCUUCGGCGGUGGAUAAGUAUACUGAGUUUUGUUUCUUGGAAGACCAAGACACAAGAGAUCUACCAAGAAAUUGACAAGUACCCGAAGUAGACUUUCUAUCAACCUUGUCUCCGGCAUAGUCUGAUUUAGAGUAGCCAACAAGAUUGAAAGAGGCCCUCUUAGGAUACCAAAUGCCAAAAUUUGGUGUAUGUAUCAAGUAUCUCACUAUCCUUUUCACAGCCUUAAGAUGACAUUCUUUAGGAGCAGCUUGAUAUCGUGCACACAUGCACACACUUAGCAUAAUAUCGGGACGUGAAGCACAUAGAUAUAACAAUGAACCAAUCAUAGAGCGAUAAACCUUUUGAUCGACCGGUUCACCAUCUUUGGUCAAAUCAAGAUGUCCACUAGUAGGCAUGGGUGUAGACAUACCUUUGCAUUCUUGCAUACUGAACUUCUUGAAUAAGUCCUUAGUGUACUUCGUUUGAGAGACAAAAGUACCUUCCUUAGUUUGCUUGAUUUGCAACCCAAGAAAGAAUUUGAGUUCACUCAUCAUAGACAUCUCAAACUUCUCUGACAUUAGCUUCCCAAACUUUUCACUAAAAUGAGGGUUAGUUGAACCAAAUAUAAUAUCAUCAACAUAGAUUUGGCACACAAAUAGUUCACCAUUAACCCUUUUAGUAAAAAGAGUAGAAUCAAUUUUCCACAAUUUCAAAGCCUUUUUCAAUAAGGAACUUGGUCAAGCAUUUAUACCAUGCUCUAGGAGCUUGUUUAAGACCAUAAAGAGCUUUGUGAAGUCUGUAAACAUGAUUGGGUUUCUUAGGAUUGACAAAGCCGGGAGGUUGUUUAACAUAAACUUCCUCCUCUAUUUCACCAUUUAGAAAAGCACUUUUAAUGUCCAUUUGGUACAAGGUGAUAUUAUGGUGAUUAGCAUAGGCAAGUAAGAUGCGGAUAGACUCAAGUCUAGCAACGGGGGCGUAAGUCUCACCAUAGUCCAUACCUUCGACUUGUGUGUAGCCUUGGGCGACGAGACAUGCUUUGUUGCGAACAACUUGUCCAUCUUCAUCUUGCUUGUUGCAAAACACCCAUUUGGUACCGAUGAUGUUGUGGUUGUUGUCGGGCUUCUCAACCAAUGUCCAAACUUGGUUUCUCUCAAAGUUGUGUAGCUCUUCGUGCAUAGCAUUUAUCCAUUCCGGAUCUUCCAAUGCUUCUUCGACCUUCAUAGGUUCAAUGCUAGAGAUGAAAGAAUAGUUUUCACAAAAGUUAGCUAGACGAGUUUUAGAGCGAGUGAUUCUCUCGGUUUGAAUAUCAUUGUAGAUUUGCUCGACGGGAUGGUCUUUAGCAAUUCUUGCUCGAACUCGUGAAAGCUUUUGCUUGGAUCUUCGUUGAACAUCUUCUUCAUCUUGUUCUUCUUCUUGGCCUUCUUCAUUGUUGGCAUUGUCGUUCUCUUGUCAUGGUGGAGAAGGAGGUUGUUGACGUUCAUCUUGAUGCACUUCCUCAUUUCCUUCAUCUUGGUGUUUCCCACUUGUGGAUGCUUCUGUAUCAACUCUUGGUUCACCUUGUCGUGAAGUAGAAGAUUCCACUUGGACAAAUGAGGUACUCUCCUUCACCUCCGUUGGAUGGACCUUGCCAAUAGACAAGUCUUGGAUUGCUUCCAAAGGAUCUUUGUCUCCUACAUCAAUUGGCAAUCGCUCUACUUGCGAGCCGUUAGAUUCAUCAAACUUCACAUCUACCGUCUCUUCAACCUUUCGGGUGAAAUUGUUGUAGACACGGUAUGUGUGAGAGUUUGAGCCAUAACCUAGUAGGAAACCUUCAUGAGACUUAGGAGCAAAUUUAGAACGACGAUGCUUAUCAAGAAUGUAGCACUUAGAGCUGAAUACUCGAAAGUAUCCAACUUGGGGUUUGUUACCGGUGAGUAGCUCGUAUGCCGUCUUGCCGAGUAGCUUGUGAAGAUACAAGCGAUUUGUUGCAUGACAAGUUGUCUCAACUGCUUCUGCCCGAAAGUGCUUCGGCGUCUUGUACUCAUCAAGCAUCGUUCUCGCCAUUUCGAUGAGCGUCCGGUUCUUCCUCUCAACAACUCCAUUUUGUUGAGGUGUGUACGUAGCCGAGAACUCGUGUGAAAUCCCUUCUUCGUCAAGAAAGGUGUCCACAUUUGCAUUCUUGAACUCCGUUCCGUUGUCGCUGCGAACCUUCUUGAUCUUCACUUCAAUUUGAUUUUGGGCCUUCCUAGCGAAGUUUUUGAAGAUCUUCUGAACCUGAGAUUUAUCAUCAAGAAAGAACACCCACGUAAAUCUGGAAAAAUCAUCAACUAUAACUAGACCAAAAGAAUUUCCACCGAGACUCUUGUAAGAGUUGGGACCAAAGAGAUCCAUGUGAAGUAGCUCGAGUGGCCUCUUUGUGGUCAUGAUGUUCUUCACGGGAUGCCUUCCUCCAACCUGUUUACCUGCUUGACAAGCACUGCAAAGUCUAUCCUUAUCAAAUAUGACAUCAUUAACUCCAAGGAUAUGAUUUCCCUUAAGAUUGUCAAGGUUUCUCAUGCCAACGUGACCUAGUCGUCUAUGCCAUAACCAACCUUUUGAGGAUUUAGCAAUGAAGCAAGUUUUAGGUUGGGCCUUUUUAGUGAAAUCAACAAUGUAUAGAUCACCUCUACGUAUGCCGGUAAAGACCUUUUUAUGAUUGUCUCGACGAAACACUUGGCAAUCAACUUCAGUAAAUAGGACAUUGAAACCAAAGUCAGCAAGUCUAGAUACUGAAAGUAAGUUGUAUCCAAGAGAUUCAACGAGCAUGACAUUUUGUAUGGAGCUAUCAUGUGAGAUGGCCACCUUACCGAGGCCAACCACCUUACCCUUUGAGUUGUCACCGAAAGUGACAUACUUUCGAGGACUAUCAUUAUCAGCAAGCUCACGAAACAUGUCUCUAUCUCCGGUCAUGUGAUCGGUACUGUUGGAAAUAUGCCCUAGAGGCAAUAAUAAAAGGAUUAUUAUUAUAUUUCCUUGUUCAUGAUACUUGUCUUUUAUUCAUGCUAUAAUUGUAUUAUCCAGAAAUUGUAAUACACGUGUGAAUACAUAGACCACAAUAUGUCCCUAGUGAGCCUCUAGUUGACUAGCUCGUUGAUCAACAGAUAGUCAUGGUUUCCUGACUAUGGACAUUAGAUGUCAUUGAUAACGGGAUCACAUCAUUAGGAGAAUGAUGUGAUGGACAAGACCCAAUCCUAAGCAUAGCACAAGAUCGUGCAGUUCGUUUUGCUAGAGCUUUUCCAAUGUCAUGUAUCUUUUCCUUAGACCAUGAGAUCGUGUAACUCCCGGAUACCGUAGGAGUGCUUUGGGUGUACCAAACGUCACAACGUAACUGGGUGACUAUAAAGGUGCACUACAGGUAUCUCCGAAAGUGUCUGUUGGGUUGACACGGAUCGAGACUAGGAUUUGUCUCUCCGUAUGACGGAGAGGUAUCUCUGGGCCCACUCGAUAAUGCAUCAUCAUAAUGAGCUCAAAGUGACCAAGUGUCUGGUCACGGGAUCAUGCAUUAUGGUACGAGUAAAGUGACUUGCCGGUAACGAGAUUGAACGAGGUAUUGGGAUACCGACGAUCGAAUCUCGGGCAAGUAACAUACUGAUUGACAAAGGGAAUUGUAUACGGGGUUGCUUAAAUCCUCGACAUCGUGGUUCAUCCGAUGAGAUCAUCGAGGAGCAUGUGGGAGCGAACAUGGGUAUCCAGAUCCCGCUGUUGGUUAUUGACCAGAGUGUCGUCUCGGUCAUGUCUACAUGUCUCCCGAACUCGUAGGGUCUACACACUUAAGGUUCGGUGACGCUAGGGUUGUAUGAAUAUGAGUAUGCAGCAAACAGAAAGUUGUUCGGAGUCCCGGAUGAGAUACCGGAUGUCACGAGGAGUUCCGGAAUGGUCCGGAGGUAAAGAAUUAUAUAUGGGAAGUCGAGUUUCGACCAUCGGGAAAGUUUCGGGGUCCACCGGUAUUGUACCGGGACCACCAAAAGGGUCCCGGGGGUCCACCGGGUGGGGCCACCUAUCCCGGAGGGCCCCAUGGGCUGAAGUGGGAGGGGAACCAUCCCCUAGUGGGCUGGUGCACACCCCCUGGGCCCCCUUCUGUGCCUAGGGUUGGGAACCCUAGGGGAGGGGGCGCCUCCACUUGCCUUGGGGGGCACUCCACCCCUCUUGGCCGCCCCCCCCCCUAGAGAUCCCAUCUCUAGGGCCGGCGCCCCCUAGGGUCCCUAUAUAAAGAGGGGGGUGGAAGGGCAGCCGCACCCAACACCCUGGCGCCUCCCUCCCCUCCCUGCUACACCUCCUCCUCCCGUAGUUGCUUGGCUAAGCCCUACCGGAGUCCUGCUGCAUCCACCACCACGCCCUUGUGCUGCUGGAUCUUCAUCAACCUCUCCUUCCCCCUUGCUGGAUCAAGAAUGAGGAGACGUCACACUGACCGUACGUGUGUUGAACGCGGAGGUGCCGUCCGUUCGGUGCUAGGAUCUCCGGUGAUUUGGAUCACGACGAGAACGACUCCCUCAACCCCGUUCUCUUGAAUGCUUCCGCACGUGAUCUACAAGGGUAUGUAGAUGCACUCCUCUCUAUCGUUGCUAGAUGAACUCAUAGAUUGAUCUUGGUGAACGUAGAAAAAAAUUAAUUUUAUGCAACGUUCCCCAACAGUGGCAUCAUGAGCUAGGUCUAUGCGUAGUUCUCUAUUGCACGAGUAGAACACAAAUCUGUUGCGGUCGUAGAUCUUGUCAACUUGCUUGCCACUACUAGUCUUAUUUUUCUUCAGUGGUAUUGUGGGAUGAAGCGGCCCGGACCGACCUUACACGUACGCUUAUGUGAGACAGGUUCCACCGACUGACAUGCACUAGUUGCAUAAGGUGGCUAGCGGGUGUUUGUCUCUCCCACUUUAGUUGGAGCGGAUUCAAUGAAAAGGGUCCUUAUGAAGGGUAAAUAGAAGUUGUCAAAAUCACGUUGUGGUUAUUCGUAGGUAAGAAAACGUUCUUUCUAGAACCCAAUUGCAGAGACGUAAAAGAUGCAACAACAAUUAGAGGACGUCUAACUUGUUUUUGCAGCAAUUGCUAUGUGAUGUGAUAUGGCCAAAAGUUGUGAUGAAUGAUGAAUGAUAUAUUGUGAUGUAUGAGAUCAUGUUCUUGUAAUAGGAAUCACGACUUGCAUGUCGAUGAGUAUGACAACCGGCAGGAGCCAUAGGAGUUGUCUUAAUUAUUGUAUGACCUGCGUGUCAAUGAUUUAACGUCAUGUAAUUACUUUACUUUAUUGCUAAACCAUUAGCCAUAGUAGUAGAAGUAAUAGUUGGCGAGCAACUUCAUGGAGACACGAUGAUGGAGAUCAUGAUGAUGGAGAUCAUGGUGUCAUGCCGGUGAAGAAUAUGAUCAUGGAGCCCCGAAGAUGGAGAUCAAAGGAGCUAUAUGAUAUUGGCCAUAUCAUGUCACUACUAUAUAAUUGCAUGUGAUGUUUAUUAUGUUUAUGCAUCUUGUUUACUUAGAACGACGGUAGUAAAUAAGAUGAUCCCUUAUAACAAUUUCAAGAAAGUGUUCUCCCCUAACUGUGCGUCGUUGCUAAAGUUCGUCGUUUCGAAGCACCACGUGAUGAUCGGGUGUGAUAUAUUCUUACAUUCACAUACAACGGGUGUAAGACAGUUUUACACAUGCGAAACACUUAGGGUUAACUUGACGAGCCUGGCAUGUACAGACAUGGCCUCGAAACACAGAGACCGAAAGGUCGAACAUGAGUCGUAUGGAAGAUACGAUCAACAUGGAGAUGUUCACCGAUGAUGACUAGUCCGUCUCACGUGAUGAUCGGACACGGCCUAGUCGACUCGGAUCGUGUAACACUUAGAUGACUAGAGGGAUGUCUAAUUUGAGUGGGAGUUCAUUAAAUAAUUUGAUUAGAUGAACUUAAUUAUCAUGAACUUAGUCUAAAAUCUUUGCAAAAUAUGUCUUGUAGAUCAAAUGGCCAACGCUCAUGUCAACAUGAACUUCAACGCGUUCCUAGAGAAAACCAAGCUGAAAGAUGAUGGCAGCAACUAUUCGGACUGGGUCCGGAACCUGAGGAUCAUCCUCAUAGCUGCCAAGAAAGCAUAUGUCCUAGAAGGACAGCUAGGUGAAGCACCCAUCCCAGAGAACCAAGACAUUAUGAACGCUUGGCAGUCAUGUGCUGAUGAUUACUCCCUCAUUCAGUGCGGCAUGCUUUACAGCUUAGAACCGGGGCUCCAAAAGCGUUUUGAGCGACACGGAGCAUAUGAGAUGUUCGAGGAGCUGAAAAUGGUUUUCCAAGCUCAUGCCCGGGUCGAGAGAUAUGAAGUCUCCGACAAGUUCUAUAGUUGUAAGAUGGAGGAAAAUAGUUCUGUCAGUGAGCACAUACUCAAAAUGUCUGGGUUGCACAACCGCCUAUCCCAGCUGGACAUUAACCUCCUGGACGAGGCGGUCAUUGACAGAAUCCUUCAGUCGCUCCCACUGAGCUACAAGAGCUUUGUGAUGAACUACAAUAUGCAGGGGAUGGUGAAAACUAUUCCUGAAGUAUUUUCAAUGCUGAAGUCAGCAGAGGUAGAAAUCAAGAAAGAACAUCAAGUGUUGAUGGUCAAUAAAACCACCAAGUUCAAGAAGGGCAAGGGAAAGAAGAACUUCAAGAAGGACGGCAAAGAUGUUGCCGCGCCCGGUAAGCCAGUUGCCGGGAAGAAGUCAAAGAAUGGACCCAAGCCUGAGACUGAGUGCUUUUAUUGCAAAGGGAAGGGUCACUGGAAGCGGAACUGCCCCAAAUACUUAGCGGACAAGAAGGCCGGCAACACUAAAGGUAUAUUUGAUAUACAUGUAAUUGAUGUGUACCUUACCAGUACUCGUAGUAACUCCUGGGUAUUUGAUACCGGUGCCGUUGCUCAUAUUUGUAACUCACAGCAGGAGCUGCGGAAUAAGCGGAGAUUGGCGAAGGACGAGGUGACGAUGCGCGUCGGAAAUGGUUCCAAGGUCGAUGUGAUCGCCGUCGGCACGCUACCUCUACAUUUACCCACGGGAUUAGUUUUAAACCUCAAUAAUUGUUAUUUAGUGCCAAGUUUGAGCAUGAACAUUGUAUCUGGAUCUCGUUUGAUGCGAGAUGGCUACUCAUUUAAAUCCGAGAAUAAUGGUUGUUCUAUUUAUAUGAGAGAUAUGUUUUAUGGUCAUGCCCCGAUGGUCAAUGGUUUAUUCUUAAUGAAUCUCGAACGUAAUGUUACACAUAUUCAUUGUGUGAAUACCAAAAGAUGUAAAGUUGAUAACGAUAGUCCCACAUACUUGUGGCACUGCCGCCUUGGUCACAUUGGUGUCAAGCGCAUGGAGAAGCUCCAUGCUGAUGGACUUUUAGAGUCUCUCGGUUAUGAAUCAUACAUACGGAUGUGUGCGGUCCAAUGAGCGUUGAGGCUCGCGGAGGAUAUCAUUAUGUUCUCACUCUCACUGAUGACUUGAGUAGAUAUGGGUAUGUCUACUUGAUGAAACACAAGUCUGAGACCUUUGAAAAGUUCAAGGAAUUUUAGAGUGAAGUAGAGAAUCAACAUGACCGAAAGAUAAAAUUCUUACGAUCAGAUCGUGGAGGAGAAUAUUUAAGUCACGAAUUUGGUAUGCACUUAAGAAAAUGUGGAAUCGUUUCACAACUCACGCCGCCUGGAACACCUCAGCGUAACGGUGUGUCCGAACGUCGCAAUCGCAUUCUAUUGGAAAUGGUGCGAUCUAUGAUGUCUCUUACCGAUUUACCGCUAUCAUUUUGGGGAUAUGCUCUAGAGACAGCUACAUUCACUUUAAAUAGGGCUCCGUCUAAAUCCGUUGAGACGACACCGUAUGAAUUAUGGUUUGGGAAGAAACCUAAGCUGUCGUUUCUAAAAGUUUGGGGAUGCGAUGCUUAUGUCAAGAAACUUCAACCUGAAAAACUCGAACCCAAGUCGGAAAAAUGUGUCUUCAUAGGAUACCCUAAGGAAACCAUUGGGUAUACCUUCUAUUUAAGAUCCCAGGGCAAGAUCUUUGUUGCCAAGAACAGAUCCUUUCUGGAAAAAGAGUUUCUCUCGAAAGAAGUAAGUGGGAGGAAAGUAGAACUUGAUGAAGUACUACCUCUUGAACCGGAAAGUAGUGCAGCUCAGGAAAAUGUUCCUGUGGUGCCUACACCGACUGGGGAGGAAAUUAAUGGUGAUGAUCAAGGUACUUCGGAUCAAGUUGCUACUGAACUUCGUAGGUCCACUAGGACACGUUCCACACCAGAGUGGUAUGGCAACCCUGUCCUGGAAAUCAUGUUGUUAGACAAUGGUGAACCUUCGAACUAUGAAGAAGCGAUGGCGGGCCCAGAUUCCAACAAAUGGCUUGAAGCCAUGCAAUCCGAGAUAGAAUCCAUGUAUGAAAACAAAGUAUGGACUUUGACAGACUUGCCCGAUAAUCGGCGAGCGAUAGAAAACAAAUGGAUCUUUAAGAAGAAGACAGACGCGGAUGGUAAUGUUACCAUCUAUAAAGCUCGACUUCUCGCUAAGGCUUAUCGGCAAGUUCAAGGGGUUGACUACGAUGAGACUUUCUCUCCCGUAGCGAAGCUGAAGUCCGUCCGAAUCAUGUUAGCAAUUGUCGCAUACUAUGAUUAUGAGAUAUGGCAUAUGGACGUCAAAACGGCAUUCCUUAACGGCUAUCUUAAGGAAGAACUGUAUAUGAUGCAGCCGGAGGGUUUUGUCGAUCCUAAGAAUGCUAACAAGGUAUGCAAGCUCCAGCGAUCCAUUUAUGGGCUGGUGCAAGCAUCUCGGAGUUGGAACAUUCGCUUUGAUGAGAUGAUCAAAGUGUUUGGGUUUAUGCAGACUUAUGGAGAAGCCUGCGUUUACAAGAAAGUGAGUGGGAGCUCUGUAGCAUUUCUCAUAUUAUAUGUAGAUGACAUACUUUUGAUGGGAAAUGAUAUAGAACUUUUGGACAGCAUUAAGGCCUACUUGAAUAAGUGUUUUUCAAUGAAGGACCUUGGAGAAGCUGCUUACAUAUUAGGCAUCAAGAUCUAUAGGGAUAGAUCGAGACGCCUCAUAGGUCUUUCACAAAGCACAUACCUUGAUAAGAUUUUGAAGAAGUUCAAAAUGGAUCAGUCCAAGAAAGGGUUCUUGCCUGUAUUACAAGGUGUGAGAUUGAGCUCGGCUCAAUGCCCGACCACGGCAAAAGAUAAAGAAGAGAUGAGUGGCAUCCCCUAUGCCUCGGCCAUAGGAUCUAUUAUGUAUGCCAUGCUGUGUACUAGACCUGAUGUAAACCUUGUCGUAAGUUUGGUAGGAAGGUACCAAAGUAAUCCCGGCAAGGAACACUGGACAGCGGUCAAGAAUAUCAUGAAGUACCUGAAAAGGAAAAAAGGACAUGUUUCUCAUUUAUGGAGGUGACGAAGAGCUCGUCGUAAAGGGUUACGUCAAUGCUAGCUUCGACACAGAUCUAGAUGACUCUAAGUCACAAACCGGAUACGUGUAUAUGUUGAAUCGUGGAGCAGUAAGCUGGUGCAGUUGCAAGCAGAGCGUCGUGGCGGGAUCUGCAUGUGAAGCGGAGUACAUGGCAGCCUCGGAGGCAGCGCAUGAAGCAAUAUGGAUGAAGGAGUUCAUCACCGACCUAGGAGUCAUACCCAAUGCAUCGGGGCCAAUCACUCUCUUCUGUGACAACACUGGAGCUAUUUCCCUUGCCAAGGAGCCCAGGUUUCACAAGAAGACCAGGCACAUCAAGCGUCGUUUCAACUCCAUCCGUGAAAAUGUUCAAGAUGGAGACAUAGAUAUUUGCAAAGUACAUACGGAUCUGAAUGUCGCAGAUCCGUUGACUAAACCUCUUCCACGAGCAAAACAUGAUCAACACCAGAACUCGAUGGGUGUUCGAUUCAUCACAAUGUAACUAGAUUAUUGACUCUAGUGCAAGUGGAAGACUGUUGGAAAUAUUCCCUAGAGGCAAUAAUAAAAGGAUUAUUAUUAUAUUUCCUUGUUCAUGAUAAUUGUCUUUUAUUCAUGCUAUAAUUGUAUUAUCCGGAAAUCGUAAUACACGUGUGAAUACAUAGACCACAAUAUGUCCCUAGUGAGCCUCUAGUUGACUAGCUCGUUGAUCAACAGAUGGUCAUAGUUUUCUGACUAUGGACAUUAGAUAUCAUUGAUAAUGGAAUCACAUCAUUAGGAGAAUGAUGUGAUGGACAAGACCCAAUCCUAAGCAUAGCACAAGAUCGUGUAGUUCGUUUUGCUAGAGCUUUUCCAAUGUCAAGUAUCUUUUCCGUAGACCAUGAGAUCGUGUAACUCCCGGAUACCGUAGGAGUGCUUUGGGUGUACCAAACGUCACAACAUAACUGGGUGACUAUAAAGGUGCACUACAGGUAUCUCCGAAAGUGUUUGUUGGGUUGACACGGAUAGAGACUGGGAUUUGUCACUCCGUAUGAUGGAGAGGUAUCUCUGGGCCCAAUCGGUAAUGCAUCAUCAUAAUGAGCUCAAAGUGACCAAGUGUCUGGUCACGGGAUCAUGCAUUACAGUAUGAGUAAAGUGACUUGCCGGUAACGAGAUUGAACGAGGUAUUGGGAUACCGACGAUCGAAUCUCGGGCAAGUAACGUACCGAUUGACAAAGGGAAUUGUAUACGGGGUUGCUUAAAUCCUCGACAUCGUGGUUCAUCCGAUGAGAUCAUCGAGGAGCAUGUGUGAGCCAACAUGGGUAUCCAGAUUCCGAUGUUGGUUAUUGACCGGAGAGCCGUCUCGGUCAUGUCUACAUGUCUCCCGAACCCGUAGGGUCUACACACUUAAGGUUCGGUGACGCUAGGGUUGUAUGAAUAUGAGUAUGCAGCAAACCGAAAGUUGUUUGGAGUCCCGAAUGAGAUCCAGGACAUCACGAGGAGUUCCGGAAUGGUCCGGAGGUAAAGAAUUAUAUAUGGGAAGUCGAGUUUCGGCCAUCGGGAAAGUUUCGGGGUCCACCGGUAUUGUACCGGGACCACCGGAAGGGUCCCGGGGGUCCACCAGGUGGGGCCACCUAUCCCGGAGGGCCCCAUGGGCUGAAGUGGGAGGGGAACCAGCCCCUAGUGGGCUGGUGCGCGCCCCCUUGGGCUCCCCUCUGCGCCUAGGGUUGGGAACCCUAGGGGAGGGGGCGCCUCCACUUGCCUUGGGGGGCACUCCACCCCCCUUGGCCGCCCCCCCUAGAGAUCCCAUCUCUAGGGCCGGUGCCCCCUGGGGUCCUUAUAAAGAGGGGGGUGGGAGGGCAGUCACACCCAACACCCUGGCGCCUCCCUCCCCUCCCUGCUACACCUCCUCCUCCCGUAGUUGCUUGGUGAAGCCCUGCCAGAGUCCUGCUGCAUCCACCACCACGGCGUCGUGCUGCUGGAUCUUCAUCAACCUCUCCUUCCCCCUUGCUGGAUCAAGAAGGAGGAGACGUCACGCUGACCGUACGUGUGUUGAACGCGUAGGUGCCGUCCGUUCGGCGCUAGGAUCUCCGGUAAUUUGGAUUACGACGAGAAUGACUCCCUAACCCCGUUCUCUUGAACGCUUCCGCACGCGAUCUACAAGGGUAUGUAGAUGCACUCCUCUCUCUCGUUGCUAGAUGAACUCAUAGAUUGAUCUUGUUGAACGUAGAAAAAAAUUUAUUUUAUGCAACGUUCCCCAAUAGGUACAUCCACUGUCAAGGACCCAUUCCUUUCCUCCUGACAUAUAUCCCCGAAGAUUUGCCAUAAGACCAAAAUGUCUCAUUGCAUCAUCAAGAUCGAAGUCACUAUCAUCAUCCUCAUCAUAGUAUCCAUGUUCAACAUCGUCAUGUGGUGGAUCAAAUCCUAGAGAGGGUGAUUCGUUAGAGUGAGUUUGACAAUGAUCUUGUCUAUGAAUUUUUAUAGCUUCGGAAAUAAUAUCACUAAUAAUACCAACAUUUCCUUUGGCACGCAUAAGGUUUGUAAGCUCAAAUAGACGAUCACCAAACAUAGGAUCACUAGUAUUCAUUUUACUCAAAGCAAUAUACUUAUGGAGAAUUUCAUCAAGAUUUUUCAAAGAAUAAUCAGGAAAUCUUUCCUCAAGAAAUUUCCAUAUAGUGUAGGCACACUCAAGAGUAGGCAGUUUUAUAAUCAAGUUUCUAGGCAAGCCUCUAGUGAUAAGAUUAACAGUUCUAACAUUCCUAAUCAUGUCAAUAGACUCAUCAAGGGUAGGAUGCAUAGGAUCAACACAAGGUGCACAAGGACUAGUGAUGUACUUGUUCAAAUGAUAUUGAUUGAAAAUUACAAGCAUCUCAUUUUUCCACUCAUGAAAGUACUCUCCAUCAAGAAUAUGCACUCUAUGUCUAAGACUCCCCAAAGUAGACUCAUCCAUCUUCCUCCAAUGGUGAUUAAACCAAAGCAAUGGAGACCAAUGCUCUGAUACCACUUGUAGAACCUUGAGAAGAGGUGUCUAGAGGGGGGUGAUUAGACAUUAAGUACCAACGUAGCAGUUUUUAAGCUUUUCUUGAAGUUUAAGUGGAGUUUAGGCACAAGUUUAACAUUCACAACACAUAUCAAGCAAGCAUGCAAAGAGUAUAUGAGUAGCGGAAAGUAAAGCAUGCAACUUGCAAGAAUGUAAAGGGAAGGGUUUUGAGGAUUCAAACGCAAUUGGAGACACGGAUGUUUUUGGCGUGGUUCCGAUAGGUGGUGCUAUCGUACAUCCAUGUUGAUGGAGACUUCAACCCACGAAGGGUAACGGUUGCGCGAGUCCACGGAGGGCUCCACCCAUGAAGGGUCCACGAAGAAGCAACAUUGUCUAUCCCACCAUAGCCGUCGCCCACGAAGGACUUGCCUCACUAGCGGUAGAUCUUCAUGAAGUAGGCGAUCUCCUUGCCCUUAAAAACUCCUUGGUUCAACUCCACAAUCUUUGUCGGAGGCUCCCAAGUGACACCUAGCCAAUCUAGGAGAUACCACUCUCCAAGAAGUAACAAAUGGUGCGUUGAUGAUGAACUCCUUGCUCUUGUGCUUCAAAUGAUAGUGUCCCCAACACUCAACUCUCUCUCAUAGGAUUUAGAUCUGGUGGAAAGAGCAUUUGAGUGGAAAGCAACUUGGAGAAGGCUAGAGAUCAAGAUUCAUAUGGUAGGAAUGGAAUAUCUUGGCCUCAACACAUGAGUAGGUGGUUCUCUCUCAGAAAUAGGAUACUGGAGGUGUAGGUUCGUCUGAUGGCUCUCUCCACGAAUGAAGAGGAGGUGGAGGGGUAUAUAUAGCCUCCACUCAAAAUCUAACCGUUACACAGAAUUUACCAAACUCGGUGGGACCGAAUCAAGAAACUCGAUCAGACCGAUUUAGCAAAUAAUGUGACCGUUAGGGAUUUUGAUGGGACCGAAAUGCAACUCGGUAGGACCGAUUCGGUUAGGGUUAGGGCAUAACGUAAUCUCGGUGAGACCGAUUUUGGUAACAAUCUAACCAGAGAGUUGGUCAAGCAAACUCGGUUGGACCGAUUAUCAAAAUCGGGGGGACCGAUUUUGAUAAUGAGUCAACCAGAAAGUUUGCAUUGUAAUCUCGGUAGUACCGAUUGCUCAAACUCGGUGAGACCGAUUUUGAUAAUGGACAUACACAAAGAGAUUACAAUCCCAUCUCGGUGAGACCGAGAUCCCUAUCGGUGAGACCGAUUUGCCUAGUGUUUGUGGCAGUGGCUAAGACAUCCAAACUCGGUGGCGCCGGAUAGAACGAAUCAGUGGAGCCAAGUUUGACUUUAGGUUUAGUACAUAUGUGUGGAAGUGGGAAAGCAGUUGAGGGUAUUUGGAGCAUAUCACUAAGCACUUGAAGCAAGAGGCUCAUUAAGCAACACCUCAUCCCUCCUUGAUAGUAUUGGCUUUUCCUAUAGACUCAAUGUGAUCUUGGAUCACUGAAAUGUAAAAUGAAGAGUCUUGAGCUUGAAGCUUGAGCCAAUCCUUUGUCCUUAGCAUCUUGAAGGAGUUCCCACAUCCUUUAGUCCAUGCCACUCCAUUGUUGAACUUAUCUGAAAUAUACUAGAUAAAAGUGUUAGUCCAACAAGAGAUAUGUUGACAUUAAUUACCAAAACCACCUAGGGAGCACUUGUGCUUUCAGUGGAGGAUGUGUUAGGGAAGCAUAGGCAACCAAAGACAUGGAGGUGGUCGUACGUGGGGUGUGAGCCGUGAAGGAGAUAAUAUGGUGUAACACCGGCAAUGACUCGGGAGGGGCGUCAGUUAAGCAAGUACGUAGCGGUGUGAAGUGCUUCUACCCAAAAGGGAGGGGUGAGAUUUCUUGGAAAAGUAGGGUACGCACGAUGUCGUUGGUGGUACGGAGGAGGCGUUCAGCCUUGCCAUUUUGAGGCGACGUGUGUGGGCAGGAGAAACGGUAAGCGACGCCGUGGAGGGAGAAAAACGAUCGGAGGGCGUUGUUGAUGAACUCACCUUCGUUGUCACAUUGCAUGGCCUUAAUCAUGACGUUGUAUUGGGUGCGUACAAAGGAGAAGAAACGUUGGAGAGUAGUAGACGUGUCUGAUUUGUUGCUAGAGGGAAAGACCAGGAGUAGUGAGUAUAGUCAUCCAACACAACAAGGUAAUAUUGAUAACCAGAAAAGCUUACAACCGGCGAGGUCCACAAAUCACAGUGUAUGAGAUCAAAUGGUGCAUACGACUUGCUAAAAGAAGAGGGAAAGGGAAGGCGAGGCUGCCGGCCGAGCUGACAAGCAGCACAAUGCUGAUGUGCCUCCUUAUUACAAUCGGGAAGAACAGUUUGAGCUAAUGUAGAUAGGGUAUGAGCGCCGGGGUGGCCGAGCCAGCGAUGCCACAAGUCAGGUGAUGCCGUGGCAAGGAGAGCGGACGCCGAAGAAGCUUUAUUUCCAACAAAGGGGUAGAGGUCGCCGUUGCUAAUGGAGAUCAUGAGGACCCGCCACGUUCGAAGAUCCUUCACAAGAAAGCCACAUGGGUAAAACUCAAUGGAACAAGAAUUUUCUUUAGUGAAUUUGCGAACGGAUAUGAGACUAGUGACUACGUGUGGAGAAACAAGAACGAUGGUGAGGCGGAAGUCGUGAGGGGGUAGGGCGACGGAGCCGGUGGCCGUGACGGGUAUGUGUUGGCCAUUGCCGACAAGAAUGCUUGAUGGGACAUGCUUUAAGGAAGAAUUAGACGAGGUAAGGGUACCUGGGUUGCCGGUGAUGUGGGAGGAAGCGCCGCUGUCGAGGUACCAGUCCGUCAAGGGAGAUUGGGGCAGGCCGCUGUUGCUGUAGGUGGUGUUCAACAUGGCGAGGUGCUCCCACGAUGGUGGCGUGGGAGGGUAGUACGAGGAGGACGGUGGAGGCGCCGCAUGGUACAUUGGGUAGGCGUGGGUAUGGGAGCCAGGCCGGGGGCCGAGAACCCCGGCGGAGUUGGGCGGCACCCAUCCAGGUCGAGGCAGAGGGAGCGCCAUCCCGUACGGGGCGAAGUAGCCCGUGAACGGAGCGGGCUACGACGGCAGGCCGCGUCCACUAGAGUCGUGACGGCCUUGUCUGCGUCCACGACCACGCCCGCGGCCACGGUCGGCACCGUCGCCACGGUCACCACGGCCACGGGUCUGUUGCGGAGGCGGAGGCGGGGCCUGAGAGCAAUCAGAGCCGCGGUCACCAGAGCGGUCGCCGCGAUCACCCUGAGGGCGCGCGCCAGAUCCGGAAGCGUCGCCCGAUCGAGAAGCGCCAGGGAGAGCGAACACCGAAGCGCUCUCCUCAGCGGCACGCUGGGCCUGGGACUCCUCCGCCAGGAUGACGCGGGAGAGGACGGUGUCGAAGGGCAUGGUAGAGGCCUAAUCGCCGAGGACGACGCGGAUGGUGUCGAGCCGCUUGUCGGGGCCGUGGAGGAAUUGGGUGGUGAGAUCCACCUCUGACGGCGUGAUCGAUGUCGGCGAGACCGUCAGUGAGCAGCUUCAGGCAACGAGCGUACUCGGUGAUGGAGAGAUCGCCCUGCUUCAGAUUGCGGUACUGGCGGUUGAGCACCAUGAAUCGCGCAGCCCGAUUGGCGAGGAAGAAAUCCUGGAUCUUGGUCCAGAGGGCGUACGUGGUGGUGGCGCCGACGACGUGAUCGAUGAGGGGAUCGGCGAGGCUGGCAUAGAUCCAGAGCACCACAUGGGCAUCCACCUCCAGGUAUUGGGCGUCGGCGUUGGGUGGAGGGGGGUGCUCGAUGAGGAAGGUGACGCUGUAGCGGACAAGCACGAGCAGGAAGAAGGACUUCCACUUAUGAUAGUUGUGGUCGGCCGGGUUGAGCAAGAACUUGAUGUGGUUUGUGAUGUGAUCGAAGAAGAUCGGGUUGCGUGGAGCUGGUGGUGGCGGCGCAUGAGUGGAGGAGGAGAAGAGGGGGGCGAACUGAGAGGGGCCUGUGCUACCGGAUGCGCCGGAGAAGAGGAACGGGGAGGUGCCGGGCGAGGUGGCAGGGGCAGUCACCGUGGAGGAGAGCGAGCUCGGCGAGGUCGUGGCGUCGGUGCCGGCAGAAGAGGAGCCGGGCGCAACCAUGGCGACGGAAGAGGAGGAGCUGGUAACUGAUACCAAGUUGGAGAAUCAAUUCACUCUCUCUAUUGAUCAUUGUGUGUUACAUACAUGGCAUUUAUACACAGGGCAUUGCCCGAGUCAUGAGGCACGCAGGCCCUCGAUCCUAUAUACGUGGGCAUGCACAACAGCCCAUUACAACACAACUCAACAUCUGUAACUACAGGGGUUUCAUUCUAAUUCAUAUUUGUGAUGAGGAAGCAGAUUUGCUCUUAUGCAUCUGGUCUGCCAAAUGUGAAGAUUUUUCUGGUUGACAUGCUUUAUCUGCUACUCACUCUGUUCGGAAAUACUUGUCACAUAAAUGGAUAAAAAUGAAUGUAUCUAGAACUAAAAUACGUCUAGAUACAUCCAUUUCGAUGACAAGUAUUUCGGGACGGAUGGAGUACCAAUUUGAGCAUAUAGACAAUCAGGACAUCACUGACAUCCUAGCCGAAGAAUCUGGCUCAUGCGAAGGUGUAAUCUUAAAGAAUUCUACUUCAUAUUAUAAUAGACUGAGUGUCUUACUGAAUUCCUUGAUGCGAAUUUGUAAUUUUGGUGUCUCAGAAUGGUGCUCCUUUUGAUGGACUGAACGAUUUUACUGAAUUUAUUCUGAUGUGUGUGCAGAGGGAGGCUUGUACACAAAGAAGUACUACAACCUGGCCAAGGACCUGUGUUGGACGCAUCAAAUCUCGGACUGAUCAAACCCAACACCCUCGUUCGGUUCCGAGGAUGGUUCAGGACAUGCUCGGGGACGAGUUCUAUGUCGGCGCUUUCAAGGUACUGAAAUGAUUCAAUCGAUAGGUUGUGAUCAAGCUAUACUUCUUAUGCUCAUUUGUAAAAAACAUUGUUUGUGAAGGAUGGGUCUACCUGGAGGACGAAAAAGUUCAGACUUUUGACCAUUCUCGAUGACGUACCCAUGUGAUUCGCAUCUCUGGGAGCUCCAUCUCUUCCAUUGCUUGAUAAGGUUGUUUUACUCUCUCCAUCAUGUUUCCUCGUUCACCAUUUUCUCUGGAUGUAGACGCAAGCACAGCGGCAUAGCCAUCACGCUCAAUGUCGUUUUGGUUUAAAUCUUUGCACCCAUCACCAUAUAGAGUAAAGUUAAAAGAGAAAUUAUUUUCCUUAGGUAUCGACCAGGCAUCAUAAAUUUGUGAUGUAGAUUAAGGGAAAAUGGGGGUCAUGCCGCCUGAACUACAACAAUGAGAUGAGGGAAAUCACCUAUGAGAUUGCUCGGAGCAGGGAACGAUGAAACAUUGGUACAAAUGUUGUCACCGAUGAAUAUUGUGUAACUGGAGUUAGUAGGCACGGUUGCUUCUCGUAUGAACAAUCCACUUGGUGGAUGUGUGCCGUCUAUCAUGACUAGCGAAUGCAUAUAAAACCACUGAAAUCAGCACUAAGCUAUUAAUUACAGAUUCUUCCAUUUAAUUAUUUCUAGUGGGAUUUACCUGGACCCGAAUGGGGGAUUUGAUCAUAAUUUGUGAUAUCACCAAGUGGUCGUCGGCAUACAGUAGUCGCAUCCAUCGAUUUUUCUUCUUCUGUUGUCGGUGUUCUGUAGCAAUAUCUUCCCUUUCCAUGCGAGAUCCACUCGGGACUAAGCUGUGUUCGGCGACUGCUGUUACAUGCAACUGUCAAAAAACAACCACAAAGAUAGCAGAAUAUAUAUGUCCCUAAGGCUGCAACCUAUAAAGCAAUGAAGUUAAAUGGUAUCCUACCUGGCAUAGGCGAUGCAGUCAUUCAGGAAUUAUCCACAUUAUCAGUAUUAGAUACAUCACAUAGAGGGAUCGGCGCGAAUUUCUCGCCUCCAUAUGUCCAAGUGUUAAAAUUUGAACUGCUUGUUCCAGAAAACAACAACUUGGGGUCACAGUUUGAUCAAAUAAUAUGCCCAAAUUGUUACAAGUGUCGUAUGUUAAAAAACUGGGAGCCACAGUUUGAUCAAAUAAUAUGCUCACAGAAGUGUACUUUUGACCACACUGAACAUACAAAUUUGUUAAACUUAAUAUUUGAAGGUACUAAAACAAUGCUAAACUUCUGAUGAAGAUCAAGAAGCAGGUCAGUGAGCAUACUUUAAGCAAGCCUAACUCACUGGUUUGGUUUGUAUUUUCUGCUUGUACGUAACUUCUGAUGAAGAUCAACCUCCUUUACUUUCAUAUUAGGAUUUUUUUUAUUUUUUUAUUUAAGUUACCAGCCUCGAUGGUACGUAGGUUACCAGCCCUGGGAUACGUAACUUACCAUGCUUUUUACAUAUAUAAGUUACCGCGGUAAUGUUUGAACAAUUUUUUAUUAGGUGAGAGUUACCACGGUGUUGUACAUAAAAAUAUCAGGUCUGCGGUCCGUAAAAUACCAUGUUAUUUUCACAUAACUUAUUGGGGCUUGUUUCAACAACUUUUCUCUCGGAACAACGUUGCCAUGUUGUUUGUACAUAAGUUAUCAGGUAUGCGAUGCGUAAAAUAUCAUUGUUAUUUACAUAGAAUUUAUCAGGUAUGUAGAGUGUCAUUAACGGGUUUGUUUUCAAUAACUUUUUUCACUGGAUCAAAAAGUUACCACUGUGCUUGUGCGUAUAUUACCAUGUUGUUUGCAUAGAAUUUACCGGGGUACGUUUUCAACAACUUUUAUUAUGUGGUCAAAAAAAUUAUCAUGAUGUUUGUAUGUAAGUUAUCAGCUCUGUUAUGCGUAUAUUACCAUGAUAUUUGCACAUAAGUUAUCGAGGGACUUUUGCCCCUCCAGCACCAUACUAUGGAGGCGGAGACAUAUCUAUCACUUCAUCCGACAAUCACCACUAUGCAUCAUUUUCUUUAUCAAAUGAAUGUGUUGGUGAGUGGAAUAAAUAGUUGCUAUAUACACAUGAGUAAGCGAGGGUAAUGCUUUAAAAAAAUCCUGGAUCAAAAAAGGUACCACGCUUGGGUGAAGUAAGUUAUCAACUACAUGAUGGUGUAUAUUACUAUGUUUUUUACACAUGAGUUACCUGGGGGUGUUUUCAAUAACUUUUUACCCGAGCGAAAAAUUAUCACAUCUAGGUUGAGUAAGUUAUCAUGUAUGUGGUGCGUAUAUUACCAUAUUGUUUACACAGAAGUUACCGUGAUGUACUUUCAACAAACUUUUAUCCGGGGUCAACAAUUACCGUGGUGUCUAUAGUGAGUUAUCAGCUUCGUUUGUGUGUGUGUGUGUGUGUGUUUCCUGGUAUAUUUUCAACAACAUUUCUUCCCUUGGGUCAGAAAAUUAUAGCGGUGUUUGCAUAUACCAGCUCUCGUGCAUGUAUAUUAUCAUUCUACUUACACAAAAGUUACUGAAUGUAUGUUCUUCAAGAACUUUUUUUACUGGCUCAAAAAGUUAUCGUGGAGUUUGUAUGUGAAUUAUCAUCUCUGGUGUGUGUGUGUUACCAUACUAAGGGAUGAAGGUCUGGGCUUUAACAUGUUUGUACAAUUCAAAAGGACCGAAUUAAAACUAUGGGAUGCAAGUAAAAUUUUAGUUGGGAUCAUACGCAUCCAAUUGCUAGCUGAGUUGGUUAGUCUUGCAUGUACUUAAUGGUGAGGGCAAGAGAUUGAUUCCUACAAGGUUCAUGGUUUUUUUGACUUAAAUGAAGAAACAAGCUUUAAAUGGCAUUAAUCACAUCAAUUAAGAUACGAGAUAAAUAAAUCAUGAUAAUUAAGAGCCACGAGAAUAAAUCGGGUUGCGAGACCGCACGAUAAAAAAUCGAUGGUAUCCGAAUCGUUCGCGCCUAUUAGGCUGGUCAUAGUGGAGAGUAACUUACACUAGUAACAUACAUAUGUUACUAGUCUAUGUUACUACCUUCAUAGUGGGUAGUGUCAUAGGUGUGGUAACAUAGUUGCCUUCAUUUAUUACUUUAUAGACUCAUUAUGCAUUGGAAACCGCUAUGUGAUGGUAACAUAUUAUGUUACUCUAUUUACCUCUCUCCUCAUUAACUACUUGCCACAUCACCAAUUUUGCUUAUGUGGCAUCUAUGUUACUACCUAUGUUACUCCCACUAUGACCAGCCUUACUAAACUACAGUUCGACUGGAGAAUAGCGAAUCAGGUCAUUCAUGCCUCUCGCGGCAGGCCAAGAAACCAAGAACGCCCAUUUUUACUGCAUGGUUUUUUGACUUAAAUGAAGAAACAAGCUUUAAAUGGCAGUACUCCUAAUAAUUUGUAGCCCAUUAAUCACACCAAUUAAGAUACGAGAGAAAUAAAUCAUGAUAAUUAAGAGCCACGAGAAUAAAUCGGGUUAAUUAAUAGAUCUGACAAUUAAAAUCGCGCUAAUUAAGGAGACGUAGAAACUGGAAUUGUGAGAGCCUCACGCGAGACCGCACGAUCAAAAAUCAACGACAUCCGAAUUGUUCGCGCCUAUUACUAAACUACAGUCGACUGGAAAAUAGCUUUUCAGUUUUAAAUUUAUUUAGUUUGUGGACUAUAUGAUUUCAUUUGUUUAAUAAUGUGCAAUUUGAUUCGUUUGUUAUUUUAUUGUGAAUGAUAAUUUUGAAGACAAAAUAAAAAAGUCCACGUCAGUUUGAAUCAGCGUGUUGGAGUUUUUUUUUUUUGCAGUUCAAAGAGCUAUAUUGAUCAAGAUAGAGAGUUACAGUCCUUGUACAGACAAGCCUCUAGAAAGCUAGGAAUAAAAUUUAUCGAGACACAACGCUUUCUAUGAGGAUUAGCUUGCCUUGCACAUAGAUGUGCAAGGUCAUUAGCCUUUCUAGGAACAUAAGACAAAACAAAGAACUGAAAACUCUCUGAAAGCUCUUUAAUUUCCUGAAGCACAACAACAAUUUCUGAACGCCUAAAAUUAUUGGUAUUCCAGAGCUUCGUAAUAGCCAAAGCAUCAGUUUCAACAAUGAUGUUCCGGAGACCCAUAUUACGUGCAAGUCGGACUCCAUCUCUAAUAGCCAACGCCUCCAUAACAAAAGAAUUGGCUGCAUAUUCAUACCAUAGUGCCUGGGCACGAAUGAGUUUACCUUCAUGAUCGCGCACACCUACCCCUGUCAGCUUAGUGCAAUUAAUUUCCGGGGGUCGCCAUUUAUCGUCAGCCUUAGUAGGCAUUUUCUUUCCUUCUUUUGAUGAAAUUAUCAAAUCCAUAGUCACAUCAGCAGUCCAUUUCACCGAGCAUUGGAUCGACCGCCCUUUAUCUCCGUGCUUCUUUGCAUUACGCUCUGACCAUACAGACCAACAUCCACAUAAGAUGACAGCGGCAUCUGUAUCACUGGCCAUACCUCUAUCAAUCAUAUCCAUCGCCCAUGAGUCCGGAUGCAAACGAGGAAGUUUGACACCCAACAUGUUCCUUAUUUGAUGCCAAAACAGCUUAGCCCAUGUACAAUCGAACAAAGAAUGAGUGAUUGUUUCUUCACAUCCACAAUCCUCGCAGAAACUGAUUUGUUCAAUAUGUCUUUCCUUCAGAAUAGAUCGGCAUGGGAUAAACUUCCUAAUCACACGCCACCAAAAAUUACGGACCUUUGGGGGAACAGGCAUCUUCCAAAGCUUCUUCCAAAAUGUUCUAUCAUCACCUGCCGAGCUAGCUGGAUUAUUUGUUUGCUGCCGAGCACCAAGCAUUGCCCUGUAAGCUGACCGGACACUGAAAUUUCCACUUCUCUCUAAAUGUCAUGCCCAGUUAUCUUCUUCCAUCCUUCCCAAUGGAAUCAUUUGCACAGCAGCCGCAUCAAUAGGAAGGAAAUUAUUCUGUAAAACCUCUCUAUCCCAGUCUUCAUUGUACGGGUCGAUCAAGUCCUCGACCAUAUUCACGGUCGAGUUUUGAAGACGUAAAAGGGGUUUAAAGCCCAAGUUUGAAGGGAUCCAGGGAUCCUCCCAAACUCUAGUAUUGCUACCAUCACCAAUACGUUUGAUCAGACCAUGAGUCAGAGCUUCCCGUCCAUACAUAAUUGCCCUCCAUGUAUGCGAGGCAUUCUUUUUCCUUGUCACCGUCAUAAAAUCAGCAUCAUGAAAAUACUUGCCUUUGAUCACCCUGGCACAGAGUGAAUCCGGUUGUGUGAGAAGUCGCCAACCCUGUUUAGCAAGCAUUGCUUGAUUGAACAACUCAAGGUCUUUAAAGCCCAUACCACCCACACAUUUGGGAGCAACAAUAUCCUUCCAUUUCUUCCAAUGCAUUUUGCUCGUAUUUUCAUUUCCUCCCCACAAAAACCUGGCAAUGGCAGUUGUGAUCUUUUUGCACAUAUUUUUGGACAGACGGAAACAACUCAUAGAAUAGGUUGGAGUGGCUUGAAGGACUGCCUUGAUUAAAACUUCCCUCCCAGCGCUAUUUAGGAGCUUUGGAGACCAGCCCCUAAUCAACUUCUUAAUAAUUGUAAGUAUGUGCUCAAAUUGCUCAUCUGUACAUCUUCCAAGGGCAGUUGGCAGACCCAAGUACUUUUCUCCUAACGCUUCGGUUUCAAUUCCUGAGGCCUGAUGGAAUGCAUGCUUCACGUCAGCUGAGCAAUUUUGUCACGCCCAAUAUGCGACCCUAUCCAAAAGGAACUCGAAGGUCCCACCAAGGAUAGACCCGCAUAUUGAAACGCUUUUGCAAGGUGGAUAUCAUUACAUCAAUAUUACAUAAUAGAAGGGGAUACAUACAAAAGGCAUACAAUGCCACACGAAUGCAACAUCACAAUACAUCAGAGCAUCAUCCGACUAUGGAUGAAACACAAACAGAAACUCAAACGACAUCCACCCUGCUAGCCCAGGCUGCCAACCUGGAACCUAUCCCCUGAUCGAAGAAGCAGAAGAAGAACUCAACGCAAGCAAGCAUCGCUCUCGCGUCAUGAUCAUCGCAAAACAUGUACCUACAACUGUUGUUGUAGUAAUCUGUGAGCCACGAGGACUCAGCAAUCCUAUUUCCAUGGGUAUCAAGACUAGCAAAGCUUAAAGGGAAAGGAAGGGGUAAAGUGGUGAGGUUGCAGCAGCGACUAAGCAUAUAUGGUGGCUAACAUAUGCGAAUAAGAGCGAGAAGAGAGCAAGCGGAACGGUCGUGAAGCUAGCAAUGAUCAAGAAGUGAUCCUGAACUCCUACUUACGUCAAACAUAACACAGAAACCGUGUUCACUUCCCGGACUCCGCCGAAAAGAGACCAUCACGGCUACACACGCGGUUAAUGCGUUUUAGUUCGGAUCUGGUGUCAAGUUAUCUACAACCGGACAUUAACAAAUUCCCAUCUGCCUAUAACCGCAGGCACGGCUUUCGAAAGAUUAUACCCUGCAGGGGUGUCCCAACUUAGCCCAUGACAAGCUCUCGCGAUCAACGACGGAAUAGACCUUCUCCCAGGAAGACCCGAUCAGACUCGGAAUCCCGGUUUACAAGACAUCUCGACAAUGGUAAAACAAGACCAGCAAAGCCGCCCGAUGCGCCGACAAAUCCCGAUAGGAGCUGCACAUAUCCCGUUCUCAGAGCAACACCGGAUGAGACUAGCUACGAGUAAAACCAACCCUCAAGUUGCCCCGAGGUGGCCCCACAGGCAGCUCAGUUCGGACCAACACUUAGACAAGCACUGGCCCGGGGGGGCUAAAAUAAAGAUGACCCUUGGGUUGGCCGACCCAAGGGAAAGGGUAGGUGGUGGUGAGGCAAAUGGUAAAACCAAGGUUGGGCCUUGCUGGAGGAGUUUUAUUCAAAGCGAACUGUCAAGGGGGUCCCAUAAAUCACCCGACCGCGUAAGGAACGCAAACUCCGGGAACAUAACACCGGUAUGACGGAAACUAGGGCGGCAAGAGUGGAACAAAACACUAGGCAAAAGGCCGAGUCUUCCACCCUUUACCAAGUAUAUAGAUGCAUUAAUAAUAUAAGAGAUAUUGUGAUAUCCCAACCAAAAUCCUGUCCACCAUGGAGAAAUCUUCAACUUCACCUGCAACUAGCAACGCUAUAAGAGGGGCUGAGCAAAGCGGUAACAUAGCCAAACAACGGUUUGCAUAGGAAAGGUGUCAAAGGUUAGAGGUUCAUGGCAAUAUGGGAUGGCUUGAUAAACAGGUGAUAGGUAGCGCAGCAUAGCGAUAGAACGAAACAACUAGCAUAGCAAUGAUAGUAGUGAGAUCCAGGGUAACGGUCAUCUUGCCUGAAAUCCCGCAAGGAAGAAGAACGGGUCCAUGAAGAAGACGAACGGAAGUAGUCGAACGAAUCCUCACAAUCGCAACAUUACCGGAACUAAGAAGCAACACCGGAAAGAAACAAACAACAUGGUAAACACACAAGCAUAAUCAUGGCAUGAUGCACAAUCAAGUAUGAUGCAUGUCUGGUUUAAUGAGGCAUGGCAUGGCAAAGUGCACAAACAAUACUACAAAUUAAGUGGAGCUCAAUAUGCAACGAGUUGCAUAUUGAAGAAACACCACAUGCAAGUAUUUAGUUCUCUCUCGUUUAGGUACACAAUAAUAUUAAAUGUUGUUAAACAUGGCAAGAGGUAAAGCAUAAUGAAACUACCUAUCUAGGCAAAUUUAAAUGAGGCCGGAAUAACAAACAACAAGUCCGGAAAAUCCCCAUAUGCAUAUUUUAGAUUCGGUACUGUUCUGCCCUAAACACAAUUUUAAUGUUGUUAAACAGCAAAACAAAGUGCACCAUGUUAAACUAGGCAUUUUUCCACCCCAUUUACAUAUAAAGUUUAAUUAAAACCGAGCUACGGUUAUUUAGUUAUGAAAUAAAUCAUUUUAACAUGGCAUAUUCGCAAAUUAACACAAACAACAUUUUAAACAUUUUAAAAAUAGAUGAAAGUGACAUAUUAUUAAUCUACACAAUUUUCUGAGCAUUUUACAUAUAUAAAUUAUUUACAUGUGAUGCACGGUUUGUGAGUUAUUAAAUGUAUGAUGUAUGAGGGGUUUUCUGCAAAUUUGUUAAACACUGGAAUAAUGCUAAAUUCGCAGAAUCUGAAAAAAAACAUGAACGGGCCGAAACUGACUAGCCCAAUAGAGGAAAGGCCAGGGGGCUGCUCACCCUGGGCCUUGGGCCUGGUCGAUGCAGAGGCAGGCCGACUGGGGGGGCUGCUGGAUCUGAUGCGGCUGGGCCUGAGGCGCUGCUGGGCCGGGGUGGGACGCGGGCCCACGAACGGGCGCGGUCAACGGCGACGCUGGGGAGCGAGCGGCUCCUCCCGACCCGCAGGCGGCGGCAACGAUGGGAGGCGGGGCGACGCCGGCAAGGGCGAAGUCCGGCGAGGCCAGGGACAGGCGGGGAGGCUUGGAACGGGCGGAUCGGGCCUCCGGGCACCGGAUCCGGCCGGUGGCGAGGCGGGGCGACGCCGGCAGCAAGCGGUGGCGGCGGUGGUUUCCUGCAGAGAGGAGAGAAAGGGAGAUCAGGUGAGGGAGAGACAUGGGAAGGAGAGGGCGAUGGGGAGGCGGCGACCUGGCGAGGUCAGCAGCGGAGCUCCGGCAGGGGCGCGGCCUUGGCGGCACCGGAGAGGCGGCGAGGGCGGCUGUCGGCAGCGGGGUUGGAGCGGUGCUCGAGCAGGGAGGCGAGGCGAAGCGCGGGGUCCGACCCGGGCCCAGAUGGGCUUGCGCGGGCCGUGCGCGGGCUCGGGCGGAUGGGGGCGCUGGAGGGAGGCAGGGGCGACGUGGCGGCCCCCGGUUGGCUCGGGGCGCGUCGGCGGUGGCGCCAAGUGGCGGAGCUGGAGCGGGUGGCGCGGAAAUGGAGGUGGGAGGCGGCGGAGAUCCCGAGGAGGAGGGGGAUUGCUGCGGCUGGGUUAGGGAAGGGGGUAGGUGUAACGCCCCGAGACCGAUGCUUCAGAAGACUUCCAGCUAUUCCGAGUUUCGUCGUGUGUUUUAUUUUUGUUUGUUGCAUUUCUUCAUGUCAUCUCUUGCAUUGCAUCAUGCCAUCAUGCCAUCAUGCCAUUUAAUUUUUAAACCUCAACUAAAUAAAUUGCAUAGAUCUUUUGAUCUAUUUAAAUCGAGGGAUAUUCACAUGGUGAUUUCUCUUUAAAACAUAUUCAAAGUCUCCUACUAUUAUUAGGGAGCUAUAUUAAAUAUUUCUUUAUUUCGAAAAUCACCAAAACACACUUGCAAAAUAAUUUCGUUCCUUUUCUGCUUCAAGUUUGGUCUCCAACCUUGCCCAUAAAUUAUUUCGUCAUUUUCCGGAGCUCCACCAAAAAUCCGAACAUUUUUGGACCUUCCUUUUAUCAAGUCCUAGUUCAAACCCAUUUGAAUUAAAUUCAAAUGAGUUUGAAUUUAAAUCUUUCAAUCAUGACCUUCUAUUUUUCUUGGAACGAGCUCAUUUUUAUGAGUCGAGAAAAAUACCCUCCUGCUCAAGCUCCACCCCUAACCUCUUUUUCUUUUCUUUCUCAUCCCUGUUUUUUUUCUUUUCUUUUAGCAGUGAGAGAGAGCCCAGCCUAACCAGCAAACCAGGCCGGCCCAUUUGCCCUGGAGGUCCAGCCCACCUAACCCCACUGUUAACCCUAGCCCGACCCUCGAUCCCUCCUCCUCAUCCCCUCGCACCGCCACCUUCGUUCAGCGAUCCCCAUCGCUCGCCCGCUGCCAGCGCCAGAGGAGCAGAGCCCCGCUCCUCCCAAUCCCCUCACCCGAUCGCUCCCCUGCUCCCUUCCCGUGCGCCGCACUCCCCUCCGCUCGAUCCCCCACCUCCUCUGCCUCCCCUUGCUCCGAAGCCUGCCGUCCACCUUCCCCGUGGCUGAGAUGCUCUCCGCCGUCUGCCAUGGCCAGCACCUCUGCUUCCUCGCAACCCCAGCCAUCCCGGCCGUCCUCACACCUCCUUCGCCAAGUUCGCCGCUGCUGGCGCCCCAAGUUCCGCUGCCCGUUGCCCCCUUUGCAUCGGUGACCAACCAUGGUCUCUGUUUCGCCAUCUCCUCCGGCCCGCACCGCGCCAUGGCCCUCCCGAGGACAUCACCACGCAACACCUUGUUGGUCUCUUUGCCUUGUUGACGCCAAGUUCGACUACACUGCAAGACCCGGAAUGCCAAGACUGCCUUCGUGGAUUUAUUAAAAGUUCCAGGACGACCGGCGCAAAGUACCACUACGUUUGCCAUGUACAUCUACACCAAGACCGGACCGACAAGUACCCCGACAACGUGUGUACCUCUACCGACGACCCCGGACAUCUACGAAAACGUGUACAACUUCAGUCGCGAGAACGUCUACUUCCACUACGACACGAGUACAACUACUUCCACUACGACCCGUGUACGACUACUUCCCUCGACGACUCGAACCGCUCCGAAAACGCACGCUUCGAAGGUAUAACCCCCGAGAACGACCGCCGUGGACCGAAUGCAUGUGUUGAAUGAGAUGCACCAUUUGCACCGUGUCCGAAUUGUCACUCGUUUCCAUGCCGCCGUCCCGUGGGAACCCGGAAGCCGGGAUCACCCCACCAUCUUGCAUGACUCGCUCACGCUCACUUCCUUUUGCACCGGUAUCUCCGUGAGCUACCGGAACCGUUAUGUUGCCGUGGCAUCAUUUUCGGUUAUGUUGUCGUGGCACCAUUUUCGUUACCGUUGCCGUGGCACCCCUUUCGUUCCACCACGGUGCCAAAUGCUUCAUAACGUGCUCAUGUCAACGUUUUCAUUAAAAUUGCAUAAACUUGCAUUGUCAUCCGCAUCAUGAUAACAACAUUUAAAAUGUUUAAAACUGUGUUUGCAUUAAACUACUAAAUGACAUGGGGACUUUCCGGAAUUGUUGUUUCUUGUUUCCGGCCUCAUUUAAACCUGCCUAAAUAGUUAGUUCAAUUAUGUUUCACCUCUUGCCAUGUUUGACAACAUUUAAUAUUGUUGGUUAGCCUAACCGAGAGAGAACUAAAUAAUUGAUGUGGUGCUCCGUCAAUAUGCAACUCGUUGCAUAUUGAGCUUCAUUUAACUUGUAGUAUUGUUUGUUGCACUUUGCCAUGCCAUGCCUCUUUAAACCGGACAUGCAUCAUAUUUGGUUGUGCAUCAUGCCAUGAUUAUGUGAUGGUUGUUUACCAUGUUGUUUGCUUCUUUUCGGGUUGCUUCUCUCGUUAGCUUCGGGUUCGUUCUGGAGUUGUGAGGAUUCGUUCGACUACGUCCAUUUGUCUUCUUCAUGGACUCGUUCUUCUUCCUAUCGGGAUCUCAGGCAAGAUGACCUUUACCCUCGAUAUCACUUCUAUCUUUGCUUGCUAGUUGCUUCGUUCUAUCGCUAUGAUGCGCUGCCUACCCCUUGUUUACCAUGCCUCCCAUAUUGCCAUGUCAGCCUCUAACAUUUUCACCCUUCCUAGCAAACCAUUGUUUGGCUAUGUUACCGCUUUGCUCAGCCCCUCUUAUAGCAUUGUUAGUUGCAGGUGAAGUUGAAGAUUGCUCCAUGAUGGACAGGAUUAUGAUUGGGAUAUCACAAUAUCUCUUAUAUUAUUAAUGCAUCUAUAUACUUGGUAAAGGGUGGAAGACUCGGCCUUAUGCCUGGUGUUUUGUUCCACUCUUGCCGCCCUAGUUUCCGUCAUACCGGUGUUAUGUUCCCGGAUUUUGCGUUCCUUACGCGGUUGGGUGAUUUAUGGGACCCCCUUGAUAGUUCGCUUUGAAUAAAACUCCUCCAGCAAGGCCCAACCUUGGUUUUAACAUUUGCCUACCUAAGCCUUUUUCCCUUGGGUUCUGCAGACUCAAGGGUCAUCUUUAUUUUACCCCCCGGGCCAAUGCUUGUCGUGAGUGUUGGUCCAACCUGUCAACCGCCGGUGGCCACCAGGGGCAACUCUGGGCUGGCCUACCGGAAGUUUGGACAAUCCGGUGUGCCCUGAGAACGAGAUAUGUGCAGCUCCUAUCGGGAUUUGUCGGCACAGCGGGAGGCUUUGCUGGUCUUGUUUUACCAUUGUCGAAAUGUCUUGUAAACCGGGAUUCCGAGUCUGAUCGGGUCUUCGUGGGAGAAGGUCUAUUCCUUCGUUGAUCGCGAGAGCUUAUCAUGGGCUAAGUUGGGACACCCCCUGCGGGGUAUAAUCUUUCGAAAGCCGUUCCUGCGGUUAUAGGCAGAUGGGAAUUUGUUAAUGUCCGGUUGUAGAUAACUUGAUACCAGAUCUGAUUUAAAACGCAUCAACCGCGUGUGUAGCCGUGAUGGUCUCUUCUCGGCGGAGUCCGGGAAGUGAACACGGUUUUUGGGUUAUGUUUGACGUAAGUAGGAGUUCAGGAUCACUUCUUGAUCAUUGCUAGUUCACGACCGUUCCUUUUGCUCUCUUCUCGCUCUUAUUUGCGUAUGUUAGCCACCAUAUUUGCUUAGUGCUUGUUGCAACUCCACCUCAUUACCACUUCCUACCCAUAAGCUUAAAUAGUCUUGAUCUCGCGGGUUUUGAGAUUGUUGAGUCCUCGUGACUCACCAGAUACUAUCACAACAGUUGCAGGUGCCGAUGAUACCAGUGUAGGUGAUGCAACCGAGCUCAGAUGGGAGCUCAACGAAGACCGUGGUCAUUGCUAUGUUUCGUUUCAUGUUGAUCAGUAGUGGAGCCCAGUUGGGACGAUCGGGGAUCUAGCAGUUGGGUUAUCUUCUUUUCUUUUGGCUUCAUCCGUAGUCGGACUAUGUGUGUACUCUGUAUGAUGUAUGAUUUAGUAUAUGUUCAUUGUGUGAAGUGGCGAUUGUAAGCCAACUCUUUAUCCCAUUCUUGUUCAUUACAUGGGAUUGUGUGAAGAUGACCCUUCUUGCGACAAAACCACAAUGCGGUUAUGCCUCUAAGUCGUUCUUCGACACGUGGGAGAUAUAGCCGCAUCGUGGGUGUUACAGUAGGCUGCCAAAUUUGGAAGGGGGUGUCCAUAUAUAGCAAAUUUGCUAGGGUUUGGGGGUUAGGAGGGGUUUUGGGACCCUCGGAUCGCGAUCGUGCGGCUCCGGACAGAGGGGAAGCUAUGAGGGGUAUGUUGGACCUAGGUGGGCUGUGUAGAAUGCCUUGGGCUGAGAAGAGAGGGAUGAAGUGCAGCCCGGGAAGGGUUUUCGGAGACCGAAAACAUCCGACGAAGGCACCGGCAACGGUACUGCUAUGGAAGACGGUUGGGCUAUCAAACGGACUCCGAAUGCGACGAAACUUGACAGGCGGCCUUCUACACUAUAAUAAGACCGCACGACAAGUUGCAACCCAUUCCGAGAACAUUUUUAUGCCACUUAUAAAAUAAUAUUUUGGAGGUGCCGCGGGCGCGUGCGAGUGUGUCUGGACUCCGAACGGACAACGGAGAGGACCGGGGAAACCCGAACGGAUGCAAGUUUUGAAAAACAUGCGGAUGAAAUGCAGAUGAUGACAUGAGACGAGAUGCAUAACAAGAAAAAAAUGCAAAACAACAGACAGAACCCAACCACGGAGGAAAUAUCAUAUAGCAUCUCCGGAAAAGGCAAGAGUUGGAGUUAUGAAUAUGGAAAGUUGUAUCCGGGGCGUUACAAAUUUGCACUAAAAAGACCGCUGAUUUCUGCCUAUUGACAAGUUGUCCGGACCCGAUUCUAUAGUUUUCCAAGAUGUGUUGUAACCGGGUUGCACCAUCAGUCGAGGCUUGUGUAAAAACAACACAAUCAUCCGCAAACAAUAAGUGUGAGAUCCAUGGGGCAUGGAUCCCAACCCGGACUCCCCUGCCGAGGUGUGCUGCCCCAUAGUUCUUGAGCAUACUAGAAGGCGAAAUUGGGUCCCCUUGUCUAAUACCUUUGGAUGGUUUAAAAAAUUCCGAGAGCACCCCAUUUACUCUGACUGAAAAGGACACCGUUUCCGCACAGCACAUUACUCGAUUAACCCAAAUAUCCGUGAAACCAAGCUUGGCCAUGACCGCCCUCAAGUACGACCAUUCAACUCGAUCAUAUGCUUUAGCCAUGUCAAGUUUAACUGCACAAGCUCCUGCUUUACCUUUCUUCCUUUUCAGAUAAUGUGUACACUUGUAGGCAGUAAGGACAUUGUCUAUUAUGAGCCAUCCUGCAACAAAAGCACUUUGCUCUUCUGAAAUAAUUACCUCAAGCUCAGGGCGCGAACGAAGUGCCAACACCUUCGAGGCUAUCUUGUACAAGACAUUGCAUAAUGAUAUGGGUCUAAAUUGGCUUAUAUCUUGUGGGGAUUUUACCUUAGGAAUCAAAACAAGAAUGGUGUUAUUUAUCACAUCUGGCAUGUUUUCUCCUUCCAAGAAAUUCCGAACUGCACGACAAACAUCAUCCUUCAAUAAGUGCCAAUGUUUAAUAUAGAAGCCUGCCGUCAGUCCAUCUGGCCCAGGCGAUUUGUCUGGAUGCAUCAUAAACAGUGCCCGUUCAAUUUCUUCAUUUGUAAUCCUAGCACACAGCCUCUCAUUCAUUGCUUCAUCAACCCGACGAGGCACCCAUUCCGUGACCACACUUGGAACAGUACUAUCCUGCACAGAAAAAAGAGAUUUAUAGAAGUUAGUUGCCUCUGAUUCCUGGUCAGUCUGGGUUGUCGCCACCGAUCUGAUCGCCUUACUGCAAUCAGUAGAGCACAAUGAUCCGACUCCGUACAUUGGAUAUGAUUCACUGUUGUAUUAUGAAAGCAUUCUAGAAAUUUGUCAUCACCGAGGCCUCUGUCAAGCCUAACUUUAAUGUUCCUUGUACCUUGUUGUCUAUUGUCCCAGGUGUACGGCAAUCCGUAGUAACCCAUAUCAUCAAAUAUGCAGUAGUCCACCAUUUCACUGAACCCCUCCAUCUUCCACUCCUCUCUAGCAUUGCCACCAAAUUGUUUAGAUGCAUAUAACACCUCAUUAAAAUCACCUGCACAAAGCCAUGGAUUGUUGUAUUCCCGUCUCAUAAACUUCAAAAGAUCCCAGCUUCUCUUCCUCUUAGAUCUCUUUGAUUCAGCAUAAAAACCAGUAAACCUCCAUUGUACCUCACCCAAACUCUCGCUCUGAAUGAAGACAUCAAUGUGUGAAGUACUGAAAGAUUUCAAUGACACCAUCGAAUCAUUAUUCCAGUAGAGGACCAGACCACCACUCAUACCUUCACUUUUAACAGCAAACGCGUUGUUGAAACCAAAUUUCCAUCUUAGUUCCUGAGCUCUCUUAUCUGAACACUUGGUCUCCGAGAGAAAAACCAGUGUUGGACGGUGUGACCUGAUGAGGUCACAAAUUUCAUUAACUGUCUCGGGUCGCCCACACCCGCGGCAAUUAAGCACUAGCAGAUUCAUUGGACCUGGUGAGAUCCGAGUUGGGAUCCCGCCUUACCAUUUAAAAUUGUAAUCCGAACAUAUGGCCCCUUUGCAACGGCCAAGACAAAAAUAGCCAUCUUUUCAUACUGGAAAUCAAACCAAAUGCAGAAAAGAUUGUGUGGCAAAAAUUGUAGAUAGAUUUCUCUCGGCAGCAGUAUGUACCCAAAGAUGUCAUCUCUUACGCUCAGUUGUUUACCCCACAACAUGCCAUCUUGUUGACCAUCAUCCUCAACCACUUCUCCCAGCCAAACACCCACAGGAAUACCAUAUUCCUCUUUCCUCAUCUGCGGUGGCAUCGAAGGUAUCAUUGAUGUAGAUAACAAUUUACCAGGGUCGUAAUUAAAAGUAAGAAAAACAUGCCACUCGCAAUCCCCUGCUUUUCUUCCUUUUUGCUCACUUCCACUGACCAUAAGCAUCAAAGUAUUAUCCUGAGAAACGCAUAGAUCUUGAACCUCAUCUGUCAUAGAUCCAUCAUUCCUGUUAUGUACAACAGGGGACUGCUUCACCAGUUCAAUUGUAGAUUCUGAACUCCCAACCAAGGUCCUAAUUGAUUUCAAACCUUGCAAUUGCGGAAGCAUCUCCUUCAUACCCAGUUGCUUGUGCGCGACCCGGAUUGCUACCUGAAUCGUCGACUCGACCCAUGCGGCCCCCUUCAUCUUCUCCGCAUCCACUGGAAUCGCCUUGCCUGCUGCUGGCAUAACAUGCAUCUUGUCACCCGUCGGUCUCAAUCCAACCCUCUUGAGCCUGUGAUCUCUCCCAAUCUUUCAAGGUCAUGCCCCAGCCAAUCGCUAGCUCUCGCACGCAUCUGAUUCAAACAUCCCAUCGAAUUUUUGGAUCGCUGGAGAAUAUCCACCGCCCUCCGUUUAAAAAGUCUGCACUCGUCGCCGGUAAUGACGCCGCCCUGAAACCGCACCUCCUCAGGAACCACAAAACCUUCCAUGGCCAGCAUCACCAGCGGAGCUUCACUUUCCCUUCGCCGCCGUCGUCUUGGUACCAAAUUAUUGCGUUGCGAGACUCACGUGGCACGGGUCUUCGAGGUCCCGCACUCUCGUGUUCAGAAUCCGAUGCUCCAAAGCCACCGUUGCCAUGGAGUAAUGCUACAUCGGGAUCUAAUCGNNNNNNNNNNNNNNNNNNNNNNNNNNNNNNNNNNNNNNNNNNNNNNNNNNNNNNNNNNNNNNNNNNNNNNNNNNNNNNNNNNNNNNNNNNNNNNNNNNNNNNNNNNNNNNNNNNNNNNNNNNNNNNNNNNNNNNNNNNNNNNNNNNNNNNNNNNNNNNNNNNNNNNNNNNNNNNNNNNNNNNNNNNNNNNNNNNNNNNNNNNNNNNNNNNNNNNNNNNNNNNNNNNNNNNNNNNNNNNNNNNNNNNNNNNNNNNNNNNNNNNNNNNNNNNNNNNNNNNNNNNNNNNNNNNNNNNNNNNNNNNNNNNNNNNNNNNNNNNNNNNNNNNNNNNNNNNNNNNNNNNNNNNNNNNNNNNNNNNNNNNNNNNNNNNNNNNNNNNNNNNCAGAAAUUCAAUAUUAUGCCUAAUGAAAAUAAAGAUAACGAAGAAAUCUGGACUCACAUAGCCGUUGCGGGAUGCCGUCUCCACCAACGGCUCUAUUCCCCCCACCGCCCGCUCCACGUUGACCGUUUCGACCAUUGAAACCCUCUUUCCCUCUCACCCUUCUUCCCAUACCCCCAAAUCCCCCAUCUCCCCCCAAACCGCCGCGCACAUCCAUCCAUCCAUCCGCUUCGUCCCCGGCGACGGCCCAAACCCUAGAGACCGACAGCCGCCGCGCGAGCAGCGAGAGGGAGAGGAGGAGACCGCCGGGCGCCAUGAACGACCUCAUGACCAAGUCCUUCAUGAGCUACGUCGACCUGAAGAAGGCGGCCAUGAAGGACCUCGAGGCGGGCGGCGACGAGACCGAGCUCACCCAGGCCGGCGGCGGCGGCGCCACCGACGAGCGCCUCAAGGGCUUCUUCAAGGAGGCGGAGGCGGUCCGCGAGGAGAUGGCGGCCAUCCGCGACGCGCUCGCCCGCCUCCACGCCGCCAACGAGGAGGGCAAGUCGCUGCACCAGCCCGACGCGCUGCGCGCCAUGCGGGUCCGCGUCAACGCCGACAUCGUCGCCGUGCUCGGCCGCGCGCGCGGGAUCCAGCGCGCGCUCGCGGACAUGGACGCCGCCAACGCCGCGCAGCGCAGGCUCUCCGCGGGCUGCCAGGAGGGCACCACGCUCGACCGCACCCGCACCUCCGUCACCGCGGGCCUCCGGAAGAAGCUCAAGGACAUCAUGAACGACUUCCAGGCGCUGCGCCAGCGGAUGAUGUCCGAGUACAAGGACACCGUCGAGCGCCGCUACUACACGCUCACCGGGGAGGUCCCCGAGGACGAGGUCAUCGAGCGCAUCAUCUCCGAGGGCCGCGGCGAGGAGAUCAUGAGCGCCGCCGUCGCCGAGCACGGCAAGGGGGCCGUGCUCGCCGCGCUCAACGAGAUCCAGGACCGCCACGACGCCGCCAGGGAGGUGGAGCGCAGCCUCCUCGAGCUCCACCAGGUGUUUGUCGACAUGGCCGUCGUCGUGGAGUCGCAGGGGGAGAAGAUCAACGACAUCGCGCACCACGUGAGCAACGCCAGGGACUACGUCCACUCCGGCAACAAGGAGCUCGGCAAGGCCCGCGAGCACCAGCGCGGCAGCCGCAAGUGCCUCUGCAUCGGCAUCAUCCUGCUGCUGCUCCUCAUCCUCAUCGUCAUUGUCCCCAUCGCCACCAGCCUCAAGAGGUCCUGAGCAACCACACCACACCGGAGUUUGUGAAGAUGAUCAUCUGGACACCUGCAUUUGUGUCUAAUAUGUUGUUUCGAUUUCGUAUUCUGCUGCUUCAUUCGUUGAUUUCUGCUCCCCCCCAAUGUCUCUGUGUCGUCAGGAUUUAGCUGAUGAUGAAUAGUACACCGUAUAAUCUGUUCAGUUAAUUUGCAACCCUGAAAAAUCUGCUGAUUAAUUCUGUGCAUGAGAUGAGAUUUGGUGCAUGGAUUUGUU